rnacentral:lncRNA from 1 species
CAAAAGCAUUCUUAACCAAACACAUUAAACUAUUUUUUCUUCAACCUUAAUUUCAACCACAGUUUUAACCAAACACCUAUUUUUUCAAACCAACCUCAACUAAAAAUACUUUUUAUAAAACAACUUUUUUCAAACCACAACCACAACAGCUACCACAAUACCAAACACACUCUAAAAGAGAUAGAAAACCACCAUCGCCGGGUUGGGGUUACAGUUACCGUGCGGCAACCACCACCCACGGAUAUCACCGUACAGUGUUCCCUAGUUGACCAUUCCUCAAGAAAAAAUUCUAAUCAGACUGGUUGAGUUGCAGAGUGAAACUCUAGCAAUAAUUACAUACGAUAAGAUGCAAGGCAAGGAAUUUAAAAUCCAACUUGAGCAUAAAUUCAAAAUAUAUAUAUCUUAAAAAGUCGGAAACAAAUGCCGUCUGAAACUUGAAUAUCCAAACAAAACUUUCAUUAGAAACAUCCCAGGAAGUGCUGAAAUAAUCUAACAGGCAGUGACAAUAACCAAAAACAAUGACGCAAAUGAAAAUCAUUAAACCUUGUCAGCCUUGGCGGCAGAGGCAGCAGCCUGUCCUCUAAGACGACCAGUUCUCCUAGCAGCAAUGAGACCAACCUUUUGACCAGGAGGAGCAUCACGCCUGACUGUGCUAGCAUGACCUAUAUGUUGAUGGUUACCACCACCAUGAGGAUGCUCAACAGGAUUCAUAGCCACACCACGCACCUUAGGCCAGCAGUUCCUCUUCACUCUGAACUUGUGGUAAGCAUUACCAGCCUUCAGCAUGGGCUUCUCGGUCCUUCCUCCACCGGCAACCUGUCCAAUCAUUCCACGGCAGCCACUUGGAACGAUCUUCUUGGAGCCAGAUGGGAGCUUGAUCCUGCAAGGAAUAAUCCCAACAUAUAAUUAGCAAAACUAUCUUACAUACAGAGAUGCAAAUAUGCUAAAAAAUUCGACUACUGGCAUGGUGGCAUAUAUCUUUGUCACCGAUCUUGUCAAAUUAAAAAGAUAAUCAAAAUCAUAAAAAUCUACCAGCAUGAAAACAAAAGCAUUCCUUUGCAAACAAAGGAUAACCAUCAUGGCAGAGUUAUUUAACUCAGACCACUGCAGAGAAAUGAAACAUAGGCAACCAAGAAGCAAUAUAGCUGAGCCAAUUAAUCAAAACACAACCAUUCCACUCUAAACAUACUUCUCAACCCAAGUUAUAACCUUUACACAAGUAGCUUCUCAAUUCAUUACAACAAAAAUAACAAAAACCCACUUCAGAUCCAAAACAUAUUUAUUAUAAAACACUCCCAAGUACCCUGACACAAACAGCUUCUCAAUUCAUUACAACAAAAAAAACAAAAACCCACUUCAGAUCCAAAUCAUAUUUAUUAUAAGACAUUGUCAAACAUCGAACCCAGCAAUAAAAUCACAAUAUGAAACAAACCCACGAAAUAAUUUUAAAAAACAACUAAAGUAAAGGGUUGGGUAAUACCUGGUGGUAUCAUUAUCAGGAUUGUGACUGAUAACAAUAGCAUAAUCCCCAGAAGCUCUAGCAAAAACACCACGGUCUCCAACAUGAUGUUCCACGUUACAAACAACAGCCCCUUCAGGAACAGAUCGCAGAGGCAAGACAUUCCCAACCAUCAAGUUAGCCUUCUUUCCACAGUAUACAAACUGUCCAGUAUACAUACCCUCAGCAGCGACAAAAAGCUCCUUCUGCUUCUUAUACCUAAAGGGAUGUCUGAAGGUAACUCGGGCUAAUGGGGCACCACGACCCGGGUCAUGAAUGAUUUCGGUGACAACACCUUUCAAGUAACCAUUUCUUUCACCAAAGUCCAGAGACCUGAACCUUGCCGGACCCUUGCGAUGGUGGGUGUGGGAUUUGAAAACAGAGCCAGCUCCCUUACGCUGGGCACGAAUUACACGACCCAUUUGUGCUGGUUGUGUGUGAAGCGAGUGACUGAAAAUAAGUGGCAAAGAGUGAAUAUGAGAAGAAUAUAUAGGAUUAUUUAAUGAUCAAUAAGUAAAGUAGUCUUUCACUACAAGUCAUAAAAUGAUUUUUAUAUUUAUAAUAUAAGCUUGAUACCUCUUCAUACCCCAUCAUUGGAGACUAGUUUAGUUAAAAAUAAUUCAUAUUGCAAAAUUAAAUUCUUUAAGCUUAAGAAAAUAAAUUGAUUCUGGUUUUUCAAUGGAGAUUAAUUUAAUUAAGAUAAAAGAUUUAAUUUUACAAAAUUCAAAACAAAAGUAUGAUUUCAUCAAAUGAGCAUGCCUAAUUAACGAUACUAAUUUAAUUCCAAAUGUGACAGACCCCCUUAAUACCAACCUUAGCAAUCAUGUUUACAAUAAAACUUCAGAUUUUUACAAGAAAAGAAACCAUAUAAACCCACAGAUUAUGUUUUUUCCUUGACAUGCAACAGCCAACAGAAGCAGGAAAAAAUUGUCAAAAAAGAUGAAACAGAGUAGAGGAUCAAGAUUCCUGCUUGUUUAAUUUAAAAUCAUAUUAAAUUUGUAAAAUUCUUCACAAAUUAGCUGGUUUACAAAGAAUGAAUCACAUAAACAUAUUGAUCGACAAAAAAAAUAAGAAUAAAGAAGACCAUAAAUUAUCCCAAGUCAAGAAUCCCCGCCAACAGUGGAUAUCAAUUAUAGUUACUAGGAGCGCCAACCCAACAGAACCAUAAAAGUACCAUAAAAAUGACUAGGACUCCUUCUGGUCCCCAUUCAGGUCUCAGUUUUUCUAUCUUUUUCGCUCUGCUCUCUCUUCGACAUACUGUAUUAUGUCGACCCAACCAGUUUUAACCAUUCUUCGCAGAAUCUUUUACCCAAUCAGGUUCAUCCAUUUUUUUAAAACAAAACAUUAGCUUUGCCAAGAGAUGUAAAAAAAAGAUAAAUUGGGAUAUUUCAAAAUUUCAGCGUAGUUGUUUUAUAUCUAAAAUUUGAAUGGAUGCAAACAUAUGCAUAUGGAGUUUUGAGUUCAAACUUAUACAUUAAGGUAGUUUUUACGUGGACAGUAAUGGGGAUCUAAAAUCCUAAAAUAUCUGGUCUUGGGUUAGCUAGGCACGGUGAAGAGAUCUAUGGCACUAGAAUAUGCACUGUGGGGUUAAUUGACAGACAACGCAGAUGCUUACCUGAAUGGUGGAGGCAAGAGCAAGCCGCCGGAGGGGAAAGAGCAGGAUGGCAGCGACAAGAGCAAGCCGCCGGAGGGGAAAGAGCAGGAUGGCUGCGACAAGAGCAAGCCGCCGGAGAAAGUAGAAGGAGUUAGGUUUUAGAAACCCUAAAUUCUUAAUAUAUAUAUAUAGGAGGAUGGGUUAAAGGGUGGCUGUGUUGGUGUUUAGAAAUUGUAGCCAUGAAUUUGGGUUUGUGGGUAUGGAAGAAAUGCCCAUUUGAGUGGAUUGGCCCAUGAUGAAAAUAAUUUCUUUUUUAUUCAUGUAUUGAAUGGAGUGAUAAAAUUAAUUUCAUUAAUUUUUAACUAAAUAAAAAUUAUUUAGUAUAACUAUACACUCCUCUCCCACGUAAUUUUUUUUAAUAAUGGGAUCCAUAUUUAGGUGGGAGGGAAGAGCAUGAUAUAUCUAAUAAUUUCUCUAUAAAUAUAAAUAGAAAGGGUAGAGAUAAAUAUAGAAUUUUUCCCAUUUACAAAUUUCACAGAGAAUAUUAGAGAUUUGAUGUGCUAUUUUUUUUAUACGCGAGUGUCUCUACAACGUGAAAUUUUAAAAUUUUAUAAUCAAAUGCAUCUAUUAUAUUUCCUCAUCAAAUAUAUAUUUUUUCAUUAAAUUGUCAUGUGAUCAGAUCAACCGGGUCUUAUUGUAUUGAAAAAAAAAUAAAAAGUAACGGGUUGCAAUCGAGUUUUUUAUUGGGUUUUGCCAGGUCACAUCGAGUUUUUUUUUCUUUUAUUUUUUUUUUCAAUCCGGUUUGGUUUCAGUCUCGGGUUGGCCGGGACCCAGAUUAAUCCAUUAGGCCAGACCGGAUUUUAUAACGCUGGAUUUAAAUUACUUUUUUUUAUAAACGAGAUCAGGGAUUUAACUGAGAAGUCAAUAUAUCUACAUCCGUGUGUGUAGAGGUGUAAAAACAAGAAAAAAAACAUAGCUUUGUUGUGUAAUAAAUUCUUAUUCUAUAAAAACAAUUAGUUAUGUUAUUUUUUAAAAGUUUAGAGCCGGAGAUUUGAUUGGAUUGCGAGAAAACGAGGAAAUUAAUUUAAUUUGAGCCUUUUUCUUGGACAAGUUGCUUUUAUUUUACUUAAUUUUAAUCUAAAUAAAUUAUUAUUUUGCCUUUUUAUUUUGACUUGGUUGGAUAAGGAUAGGAAGUCUACACCUGUUACCUUUUAAAAUUAGAAGCAUUCAAUUGAUAAAGUUUUGAAAGUUCAAGCACUCGAGCAGGAAAAAAAAAAAGUAUGCACAUUCAAAUAGAAGAAAAUAAAAAUACACGUGUUAGAAAUAAUCUGCAAGUUCAUGCACAUUGGACACACGUGUUAGAAAUAAUCUGCAAGCUCACACGCACUGACGAUAGCAAAAAUAGAAGUAAGAACAUGUGAAUAUAAAAAUAAAAAAUAAAAAACUCCAUACACUAAAUAUGAAAUAAUUAAUCUUUAUUUGAAAAGUCAAAUUAAAUCAAUUACUUUAUUAUCGAUCUUUUUAUUAAGUGUUCAAUUGACAUUAUUCUGUGGGCCACUGUAAACUAGGUAGGAAAAUUAAAAUUAAUAAUAAAAAAAGAAAAGAAAGGAAAAACCAUGUGCUUUGAAAUUGUAUUUAUAAGCAAUUAAAUCCAAAUUGUUAUUAAUCCAAUUUUUUUUUCUCUGGCCCGGUUGCCUUAAAGACAAAAAUCAAGUUGUUGUUGGAUUACUGUGUUGGUAUAAAAACAAAGAAAAUAAAAAAAAAAUAUUUAGUUAAAAAAAUAAAUAGAAAUUAUAUUUACGGAGUUGACAGAACAUAUAAUCAAUGGUCUAAGGCCUUUACUUGAUAAAAAAAAAACCCAUAAAUAAAUAAAAAUUAUUUUAAAAAAUAAAAAUUAUCCUUACUUAACAAAAGAUCUCAUAUGUAAAGAUUGCUCACCACUUCAUUUGUUAAAUAUACAUAAAAAAAUAUUUCUUAAAUAUUUUAAAAAAUCUAUUUAUAAUUUUACCAAGAUUCCUAUGCAUUUUUGUUCGAGAUAUUAACCAAACGUUAGGCCGAGAAUUUUCACAAUUCACUAAAAUAAAAUUAAAAAGAAGAAGAAGAAGAAGAAGGAAGAAGAACAAGAAGACAGGAGUAGAGCCUCCUAACGAGAGGAAACUGAUAGCGGAGUUUUCAUUUCAUCAAGAACAAGGCAGUUGUACUGCAAAGAUACAAAAUCACUGCAAAUCCUCGAAAACAAAAGAUGAUUAUUCAAGAACGCAACUACAUUUGUAUCUCUAUCCACCUGCGAAGCCAUGAAAUGAGCUGCCUUAUUCCCAGUUCUACAAACAAGGUGAAAAACAAGAACAUUAAUCAGCUGCCUGCAUGAUAUAAAAGACUAUAGAUUCUCUAUAUCCCAUGCAAAUGGAGGAUUUCCGAGCCAAUAAUAUGGUAAACUGAAAAAAAAGUGCUUUGAUAUUUAUAAAUAGACGAGGCAGAAACCAUCGAGUUUUUCCUUUCUACAAAUAAAGGUUUUCCAGCCUCCUCGCGGCUUCCAGGAUACUCUCUCUGUGUCCAAAAGCACAAACUCUCAUGAACUCUUCACCUGCUGGACCAAAACCAGAACCUGGAACAGUUAUUAUAUGAGUCCUCUCCAGAAUCUCGGUAAAUACAUCCCAAGAUUUUGAACCAGGAAAAUGUACCCAGAGGUAAGGAGCAUUUUUACCACCAUAUACUUUUAGACCAAGAGAAGCAAAAGUGUUGAGCAGUAUUUUUGCGUUCUCCUUGUAGUAGUCAGUAAUGGAACACACAGCUGCGAAACCCUCUGGGGAAAGACAUGCCAGUCCACCAACCUGAGCUAUGCUUGAUGCUCCAUUGAAGCAGGUGCAUACAAUGCGAUUGAAGUCAUUUAUUACGGGAAAACCAUUUGAGAAGGACAGUUCUUCAGGAACAACUGUCCAGCCAAGACGAAUGCCUGUGAACCCUGCGAAUUUAGAGAAAGAUGAAACUUCAAUCGCAACCUCUCUUGCCCCAGGAAUUUCAAAGAUCGACCGAGGAGAAUCAUCAGUGAUAUAGGCUGCGUAGGCAGAGUCAAAAAUUAUGAUCGAUCCAUUCUCCUUAGCAAACUUCACAAGUUGCUCCAACUGCUGUCGCGUUGCUGCAUGUCCGGUGGGAUUAUUCGGAGAGCAAAAGAAAAUUAUAUCAGUUCGUGAAGUUUUAGCCAAGUCAGGAAAAAAGUUAGUCUGGGGCACACAUUUCAUGUACUCAAUGUUCCCAUACAUCCGAGAUUUAUCUUCAAAAUCACCAGCUUGACCAAUUAUGACACUUGAAUCUACAUAGGCUGGAAAGGAUGGAUCCUGCACGGCUAUUGACACAUUGGAACCGAGGAGCAGCUGAAGGCGAGUAAUAUCACACUGUGCGCCAUCUGACACGAAAACUUCUGUUUCCUUUAUCCGAACAUCUUUGUAAAAUGUUUCUGCAAUAGCUUUCCUCAAGGCUUUGUUGCCCUGUUCAGCUCCAUACCCUCUAUAACCUUCUGCCGUUGAAAGUGAAAGUGCAUAAUUUGCCAUGCUUGAAGCUAUGAUAUCCGGUAGGGGCUCUGUGGUAUCCCCAAUUCCAAGGCUUAUCAAUUUUGCAUCGGGAUACUUCUCAAUGUGUUGAACCUCACGCUUUGAGAUCUCAGGAAACAGAUAGCCACUACGUAACUUCUCCAUGUUGACAUUGCGGGGUACCUUUGUAUUGCCAGCAAUUCCCUCCUUUUGGGUUUUCAAACUGGCCUGGAUAAUCCUAGGCCGCAUGAAAUCUCUACAUAACAUAGAAUUUCCAGUUGAAGAAUUGUACAUUUUGGAUUUGGAUUUUUUCCUCAGUACCAACUCUUUCAAAGUUUUCUCUCAGAUGCGAAACAAGCAGUAGCAUGAAUACCACCCCUGCACAUCGAGAAAUAUAUAGACGCAAGCUGCUGUCAUUCAGCACUCAAAAAAAUGCGUCAUAAUCAUGUCACCCUAGACCUCAAUUAUUUUCAAGGUGGCCAAUACAGAAAUUUCCACAACAGUUAGCUGGCAAGUGUGUUUUUUUUUUUUUGUGGUUUUAAAAAAAUAAAUUUUAAAAAAAUUCUGUUACAUGUGGUAGUUAGAUUUAAAUAUAUAUUUGAUAAAAAUUGUGGUUGAAGUUUAUGUGUAGUAAAAAACAUGUAUAAAAUAUUUCGUGUAAUAUUUUUCAAAAUGCUUUUUACUUGGAAAUGCAUCAAAAUAAUAUUUUUUUUAUUUUUUAAAAAUUAUUUUUGAUAUCAGCGCAUCAAAAUGAUUUGAAAACACAAAAAAUAUAUCAAUUUGAAGCAAAGAAAAACAUAAAAAAAAAUUUAAUUUUUUCAAAAGCACUUUUAAAACUCAAAAACAAACAGGGUUUUACGAAACUCAGUUAAAAAAACAUGUAAAAACUGCUGCACAAAAACUCGUUUCAAACUUAAUUUUUUAGUGGCCCCCGCAAUAUAAAACACAAUUUGAUUUGUUAUCAAAUACCUUGCCGUGUUUGUUUCACCGCAAACGCAAAAGCCGAUGAAAAACAAACACAACCUUAAUCCUUCGAAGCAAAAACAUAUGAAAUCGUUCUGUUAAUUCUUUUAAGGAAUAAUAUAAGUCAUAACUUAAGAAUUUAUCUAACAGCUCAACCUUACGGAUUGAAAUGAUCCUUCAAUAUAAUAUCAUAACCUUGUGACCAAGCGGUUAUAUCAUGUCUAUUAUAUUUGAUAAGAUUUAAUAUAGGAUAAUUUGGAUGCAAGUUUCAAACUCAAAUAUUUAUUUAACUUUUAAAUUAAGAUGUUUAUUUGAGAUGCUAUCUAAGUCUAUCUUAAAUAUUUAAGUUGAAAUGAUUCCAUAACAAACAAAUGUUGAACUAAUCCAUGCAUUUAAUCCAUAAUUAAUCUUAUGACUCGUCUAGGUUCCACUUAUCCACCCAAUUUCCUCCCCGUUUCCUUUUCGCACCUUUCCUUUGUGUCAUCAUCUUGACUUGUGUAUAAUGCACGGACAAUUAACCAAGUUUCAGUGGUAUUUCCAUUGAUCAUAUAGUCUCUUCAAUAAGGACAAGAACAGUACCAGUUCAAACAAGUGUUUUUAAUGAUCGAUAUUCAAGUUUUCUACUUUGUGAAUCAGGGUGCCCCUUGUGCUUGCUUCUCAAUCAGACUCGGAUCCUUAAUUUAGACUUGUAACAGAAGAUUCAGCCCUUGAUCUUCACAAUCGUUCGUGGACACAACUUAUUACCAUUAAUUAGGCCAGUGGUAUUGAGGUAUCAAAGAGCCACUCAACCUAAAAGGUUAAGCUGGCAAGAGACCUCUAGCAAUACUGAUGACCGAGUUCAAAAUUUCACGUGCAUGAAACCAACGAAAUAAGCAGUACGACCACACCUAUCCCAUAACCUCUUUGACAAGUGAAGAGGGUAUUAAUUUCCUCUCUCAGGCAUUUCGUCAAACAAAUUGAACAUCACGAAGCAACGCAAUCGAAACAGGCAAGUGAAAUUACUUUCUCCAAAACAAUAUCUACCCCAAAUUAAAUUCCAAAAUCUUCAGAAGUACUUUCGCAGAAUUUAUGAGAGAAAUUAACAUUCAUAAAUUGAAAACACAUAUUGACAAAUCAAUGUUCAAGUACCUUCCAAGCAAUUAAUCAUAAUAUGCUUAAAAUUGACUAAAAGCUUGUCAAAAUGUUUUCAAAUAGAGCUAAAACUUAGAAAGCACACUCACCCAAAAGAAAAUGACAGGAAAGUUGAGCACCCAGAAGCUGCAAAACAAACUUCAGUGAAAAUGACUUCUGCUGAUAUGAAAAAUUGAAGAAACUGAGUAACCAUUACAUGUUCAUGUUUAUUGGGCAAUAAACUAAGUAAACACCUAACACUAACAGAUAAAGAACAAAACUUCAACGUCAACUAACAAAAUUAGUACUUCAAUUUUACAAAAUCUAAAGUCUUUCAGUGAGAAGACCUGGAGCUUAAAAUAUAAAUAUUAUUAGAACAUGACAAAAUCUAUUAUAUAAAACGUGGAAAAAUGUAAAGUCGAUGCAGACCCAUUACCAGAAGUUCCAUGCAGCGACGUGUUUCAGACUCCACUAGCUACUUUACGUGUUUUAUAAAAGAAAUAUAUGUUUUUUUAAUGUUAUUUUAUAGUUAAAAAAAUAUAACAAAUCAAAAAAUUUAUGGAUACAUAAAUUAAAUAAACUAAGAGUUAUGUGCGUUAAUAAAUAAAUAAAAAAUUAUUAAUGACAUCUAAAAACAAAACUUGAAAAAUCAAGAAACAAAUGUAAAACAAAAUAUUUUAUCUUGAAAAAUAGAGUAUUAAAUUGAUUGAAUAAAAUAAAAGAAAAAAAAUAAAUAACAUAUAAGGCUACACAUAUUAAAAAUAUUAUAUGAAAAUAAAUAUUUUUUUAUUUUAAAAAAUAUAGUUUAUCUAUAUAAAAGAUAAAAACAAAACUAUAGAUGAACUAGAAAAACUUCUUCGAAAAUUAAAUAAUAACAAAAAAAUCAAUAUUAUUUAAAAGAGGCUCUCUGAACAAAAUAAAAAAAGAUGAGGUUUCGUCAACUUUUUUGGUUUUUAGUUUUUUAACCGGUCACAUUACUUUAUCUCUUUUCAAUUGCAUUCUUUAAAGUUAUAUCUUUAUGGUAACCAUGCCAGACCCAAGGCGCCUGAGUCCGGCAACCAUGCUAACAACAGACGACGCAUCGCCUGUUUUGUCCAGAUUCAGCCACUGUGGUGGCCGGAAAAUCGGGGUUUGUGCUCUUUUGACUCAAAAACCUGUUUUGCAACCCGUUUUUUAUCCAAAACAUCCUAGAAACCAUGACAAACCCAUUCAUGACCUUAAAAAACCGCCCAAAAACCAAACUCAAUCCCAAACAAAAAAUCAACUCGAGCUCAGAUUUGUUUUUUCAUGAACUUUUAAGAUACAAAAGCACCUAAUAUGAACUCCCCGCAUCAAAUGGAACAAUUUGACACAAAAACUUUCAUUUUGGUGGUCUAAAUCGGUGCCAACAACAAAUUUCUUUUUCUACCGCUAGAAUCUGGCGACCCCUCUCUCUCCUCUCUCAUCUAGAGACCAAAAAAUAACAAAAAGAAACCUCUAUCAAAAUGUAAUUGGAACAAUUUCAAGGGACCGUUAUUAUAUAAUUUGCGUUAUUGUUUAAGUUGGAGGAUCAAAGUGAACGUUUUUAAAACUUAUUGUACGUCAUUUAUGUUUGUCGCGUUUUUCAUUUCAGUUUUUUCUCUUUCAAUCUCUUUUUUUUAUUUAAAAAUUUAAAAUCAUUGCUGCUUAAAUAGACUUGAUUGUCUAACACAAGUUUGAUGAACAAACUUAAAAAACAAAAUUUUGUACUGAUAAAUGUACAGUAAAAAUUCGACUCGUAGUAGUAUAUAAGUAAAUCUUUUGUAAAGGUUGAAAAUUCUAAAACUGAAGAGAUAUCCAUGUCUUGAAUCUUGAGCGGGGAGCAGAAACCAGGGAAGUCAAGACACAGAACUUUGAAUAUGUUCUUGUCGGGCAGGAGCAAUUACCAAUGUUAUCGUCAAACUUGGAACUGAGAGCAGAAAUCCAAAACAAAAACGUCAUGGAGACGAAGGAAGCUAACCACCCGUGUUUACCAUUUCCAUGCUCGGGUUUUUUUUUCCCUCAUGGCAGCUUGCUAGCUUGAGCUUGCAGAUACUUCAGGGAUAGCAAAUUAACCGAACAAAGCUUUGAACUCAAAAAUUUGUUAGCUUGGCUGGAGUUUUAACUUGUUGAAAUUGAAACAUUAUAAAAUUCAAGACUUCAAGUGGCAUCCAAGCCGUGCAGUUAUAAACAUUUUUUAGCCAAAGUUUAUCUCAGCACUUAGCGAUUUGUUUGAAAAUAUAAUAAUAAUUAUGGUUUAAAAUGUUUUUUAUUUAGAAAUAUAUUAAAAUAAUAUUUUUUUAAUUUUAAAAAAUUAUUUUUAACAAAAAUACAUCAAAACUAUUUAAAAAUAUAAAAUAAAUUAAUUUUUUUAAAAAAUUAAAAUUUUAAAAUAUAUAGUUUCUACCCCAACUUAGUUCAAACACGUGAUUUAAGUGACAUGAUGUGAUGCUUGAUAUGCUGACUUCCAUGUUAGUAUAUUUAAACCACAUGGUAGCUAAUGUACUGUGUUGCUACGAUAAUAUUCCAUGGGCAUAUAUAUAUAAAUUCGCGAAUUUAAUUAUUAUCGAAAUAAAAUAUAUUGUAAAAGUACUUUUAUCUAAAUGUUUUUAUAUUCACUGAACUAGUUUACAGGCAAACUGUUAAAAAAGAGAGAGAGAGAUUUAGUCCAUCGACCUGGUUUUUUUACCAUCCAAAUUUAUCCAGCCUGAUCAGAUAAUUUGGGCUGCCUAACUUAUUUUGGUUUUUUACCAACUAAAUUGAGAAAUACUUGUUUGGUAUUAAUCUAUUAUUGUGAUAUAAUUCCUGGCGUAUUUAAAUUAUUUAAGCCGGAAGCACAACAAACGGGUCUUGAACUUCGGAUGCCCAGAACCAGGUUCUAAUAUAUAUAUAUAUAUAUACAAGAAAUUAAAAGAAAGAAAGAAAUAUAAUAUGGGUAUCCGAAUUUUUGUUCUGUUGCUCAAAAUUAUCUUAAAAUUUCCCUCCUCUACAAGAAAUUAAAAGAAAGAAUGCUGAGCUCUAAAUAGAUGAUGAGAUGAUUUGCCAAAGAAGAAUGAUCAAGGGAAUAGAGUAUAUAUCAUGAGGUGGAAAAACAUCAUCUUGGCAGGUAUAUCUAAAGGUAACGUUUAUAUAUGCAUUCUGAAGGAUUUUAUAUUAACGUGCUUGAAGAGAAUUGCAGAGAUAUUUAAAACCUAAUCCAGGAUCGAUCGAGGCCAUAUGUCUUAGGAUUGAUCAAGGUUUACCAUAAUAUAUAUAUAUAUAAUGAUUUUUUUUCAAAAACAAAAAAAUUCAAUAAGUUGAUGACUCGAUUUUAACCCGAUGAUGCCGAGACAACUAGAUAACCUGGUUAAUUUAAUUUUUUUUUCAAGUUUUUUUAAAUUUAAGUCGAUCCAGUUUCUUGACGGGUUAGGUUUUAAAUCUUGAAUCAACUCGUGUAGGUUAGUAUGGUUUUUAAAAUAAUGGUUAAUGGAUAGUGCAAAGCUUAAUUAGAAAAUUAUAUUCAUACAAAAUAAUAAUCAUUAAGACAUCGUUAGUUACUUAAAAAAAAAAAACAUCAAUACUAACCAAUUCCAAGUAAGAGAGAAGUUAAUGGAUAAUCCCAUGGACAUUGAUAAUUAUAUAUAAAACUAAAUCACGCGGGGAAAGUUUUGUUCAUCAAGAUUCAUGGCACUGUGGAUUGGAGCAAUGUAAUGACAGAGUUAUCCCUGCCAUGAAGAGUUACAAAGAUUGUAGGGGAAGGGUGGGGUUGUCUUUUCAUUGGGAUGCAUUUGAUAUUAAAUGGAUGGUUUAGAAUAAAACAGUCAUUGCAAAUUUUGGUGGGGCAUGGUUAGGUUGCAGGCCUUAGGCUGCAGACACUUAACACUGGGCCUGCUAUGCCCUGGAUGCUAGGACUAGAUCCGCGCGCUUGGCAGGAGACCCUGGUGAGCGAGUCUACAACACCAUAUGCCUGGGUUUGCGGACCAAGACGCCUAGGGUCUGCAGACCCGCUCCCCUAGGUCCAGACCCAUUGGUAACGUAUCUGCGUCCGGACCCACGAUUAAUGGAUCUCGAGUUGGGACCCAAGGCUAAUGGGUCCAGCGUCGGCACCCAAUUUUCUUAGGUCCCGCGUCUAAACCCAAUUCUCUUCUAUGAUAUCCCACAUCGAAAGCGAGCGUCCAGAGCGAAAGCUUUAUGAGUAGAGCCGGUUGCUGACAUGUUGUAUGCAUUGUGGGGCGUUAGGCUCAGAAGUGGGCUCGCAUCACCAGGAACAAAACCGUAAGGGCGGUAAGGCCUAAAGUGGACAAUAUACGGCAUGUUAGGCCGGGCUAUUACAUUUUCGGUCCAUCGUUAAAAGCCAAUUCUCUUGGGUCCUUCGUCGUGACCCAAUUCUCUUAGGUCCCGCAUCAGAAUCUAAGACGAAUGAGUCCUGUGUUAAAUCCCAAUUCUCUUGGAUCCUGCGUCAGAACCCCAUUCUAUUGGGUCCUGCCUUAGGACCCAAUUUUCUUGGGUCUUGUGUCAGGACCCAAAGCUAAUGGGUCUCGUGGAGGACCCAAGGUUACAGGAUCCUAGGUUUCUAAACAUUAUUAUUUGUAUUAUAAUUAAAAGUAUUAAUGUAAAAAAUAUUUUUAUUUGUGUUAUAAAUAUUUUUAUUUCCAUUAUAAUUAAAAGUAUUAAUAUUAAAAAUAGUAUUAUUUGUGUUACAAAUAUUAUUAUUUUUAUUAUAAUUAAUAUUUGUAUUAUUAAAAAUAUUAUUUUUAUUAUUAAAAAUAUUAUUAUUUUUACUAUAGUUAAUAUUAUUAAUAAAUUUGAAAAAACAUUAUUAUCAAUAUUAAAAAAAAAUCAUAGAUUUGAUUUGAAGGGUAAAAUUAAAAAUUAUUUUUAUUAUUGUUAUUGUUAUUAUUAUCAUUAAUAAAUCUGAAAAAAAUACUAUUAUUACUAUUGAAGAAAAAACAUAAUUUUUUUAAAAUAUUAAAAAAUACAAGAAUUUUGACAGACAAGUAAAAUAUUAUUAUUUAUAUCAUAAAUAUUAUUGUUAGGUUUAGCGUUGCAACCUUACUUAGUGUUCUUCAAUCUUAGAUUUUUUUGAAAUUUUUUAUAAAAAUAAAAAGUUAACUCGCAGCAGCAUAGCGCGACAAUCUAACUAGUAAAUACAAAUUAAUGGUGCAAACCUACAAGAAGGAGUGUCAAUCAUUUAUUGAAAAAUAACUAUUUUCUAAUUAAAGUGGAUAAUUGUGAAAAUCAUUAAUUGGUCUCCCAUCCAUCCAUUAAAAAUUAUAUUUCAAAUGACUCGUUUUCCAGAUCAUACGCGGUUUUCACAUUAAAUUGUUCAUAGUAUCUAGCAGAAUGGCCCAAUCAAGAAAUAAAAUCUUUUUAAUGGUGUAAUUGAUAUAAAAAGUACUUUUAAGUAGACAACUAAAAUUAUUCCAAUAAUUGGGGGAUGAAUUUAAAGUUUUCCCAUAAUCUCAGUGCGUGACCUAAAAACCCUCUCAUGGGCUCACUCCACGGUCCAAUUACAAAACCCAUAACAUUUUCAUGGUCUCGAGAUUUAAGCGCCCUUCUUAAUUUUUUGACUUGCCAAACGCGGCAAAGGCUAAAAAAAAUCCACUUUCACUCCCCAAGAAAACCACGAUCCCGCUCUCAUCGUUUCCACCAAUAACAUUCAAGCAUUUAAAUCCAACAGCCCAAAACCUAAACCCCACGCCUCACACGGAUCGUUACUUGAUCCAACGGCCACCCUUCCACCUAUCUCUCAAUAAAACAGGCCACAGAUCAUUGCUUCCCAGAUAAAAAAAAUCAAGAAAUAUAGAGUGAAAAAAGAAGAGGAAAAAAUGUCAGGGAGAGGAAAAGGAGGAAAGGGACUGGGAAAAGGAGGAGCCAAGAGGCAUCGUAAGGUUCUUCGAGAUAACAUUCAGGGCAUCACCAAGCCUGCGAUUCGUCGACUGGCUAGGCGUGGCGGAGUCAAGCGUAUCAGUGGGCUUAUCUAUGAAGAAACCAGAGGUGUCCUCAAGAUCUUCUUGGAGAAUGUGAUUCGUGAUGCAGUCACCUACACAGAGCAUGCUCGCCGCAAGACAGUGACUGCAAUGGAUGUUGUAUAUGCUUUGAAGAGACAGGGCCGUACUUUAUAUGGUUUUGGUGGUUGAUUCAGUGAUUCAUGUACUGGGCUGAUUGAGUUUUAGGUCUUUUAGAACUGGGUUGUGGAUAGCUGUAUCUCUUGCUACCCAAGUGUCAUGUAUCUAUGUGUUUCUGUUUUAAUGCUUGAAUGAAUGGCUCUUAAUUUGUGUUUCUGUUUCCUUUCUGCUUCUUAUGAUUCGCUUCAAUUCUGUGAGCCCUCAAUGUCUCGAAACAAGGUCGCGAGCCGAUCUGUUUGGCUUCAUGAUACAUAUAGGGAAGGAGAUCCUGCCAAGGGAGAUUAAGCAUAUAUUGGCCGAAUAAAUCAGUGUGAUUGAGCCAAAAACUUGGCGGAGCUCAAAAGGACAGAGGCAAGUCUGUCCAGUGUUUGCUUAGACCCUGUUUGAAUUUGAUAUUUUUUUGCCCUUUAAUUUUUUUUUUUGUGAUUUUGGAUGUUAAUAUUAAAAAUAAAUAAAUAAAUCUUAAAAAAUAAAAAAAUAUUAUUUAAAUACAUUUAAAAAAUAAAAAACAAUUUCUAUUACACUUGCAAACACCAUUUAAUUUUUCUUAUCGGAGCCGAUACCGCAUAUUUUUCCAAUCAUGGUCAAGAGAAUUCUGUCGACGACAAUCAAAUACAAUCCACGGUCCGACCUAGUCCCAACUCGACAUCCAAGAAAUAGUAUCAUCGUAGGCCCAGCCCAUGUACCACUAGACGGCCCAUUUCCUCAUUCACUACACUUUUUACAUUAAAGGAAACUUUUUAUUUUUAUAAUAUAUUAAGCUAGCCUAUCAAUUUAUUAAUUAACAGUAUUUUAAUAAAGUUAACCUAAUUAACGUGUCUCAAAAGACAUCCCUUACAUCAGGCAAAAGCUAGAAGAUAACCUAUGACAUCAAAGCCACAAGGCACUAUAAACCCAAGACGGAUAUAAAGAGAAAAAACCCUACAAAGAAGAAAAAGCACUGCUCUCACACACACAAAAUCAAACUCAAAAGAGCAGCAAAAAUAGAUUCAGAUCGAAAGAGAAAGAAAGAUUCGAUCUCACAAGAAGAUCGAAACCGAGCACAACCAUCCAAGCCAAAGCACAAAGAAACCCACAGAGAGAGCGAAAAGCACAAAAAGAGACCUAAAAUGGCAUCAUCUGCAUCAGGGACUCAAGUUCGAGCAUCACACAUCCUAAUAAAACACGAGGGUUCAAGAAGGAAGGCAUCAUGGAAAGACCCAGAAGGUCGUGUGAUCAAAAACACGACAAGGGAUAGUGCUAUUUCUGAACUCAAAGCAAUUAGAGAGGAUAUUGUUUCUGGCAAAGCUAAGUUUGAGGAUGUCGCUUCUAGAAUCUCUGAUUGUAGCUCUGCUAAACGUGGCGGCGAUCUCGGUUAGUUCUUUUUCAUGGUUUUUUUCUUGUUUUUUUUUGCAAGAUAUUUUUUUGGGCUGCUUUACUUUUAGUUAUUGAGUGAAUUGUAAUUUGGAGAUUUUAGCUCUUAGAGGUGUUGUGGUUAGAUUAGGAAGACUAAGGUGAGGUUUAGUCAUUGUGAUUUGUUGCUGAAACCUGUGUGAUGCUUGCAAUUAGUGUUGGAACUGAGUGGGGAUGUUUCUUUGGCUUUAAGUUUGGAAUAUCUGUGUGUUGUUUGAUGGGAUAUAAGAUUUUUUGUUUCUAUUGCGUAUGUAUGAAAUGGGUAGUGGUUAUUUUCUUGGUUAGUGCUAGUUGGUGAAUUUGAUUUUACUCGAAGAUUAAGUACGGUGAGGUUAUAGGAAUUUAGUGUUCCGAGGUGAAAAUUAUUUGGUGGUGACAUUAGUUACCGGGACCAUUUUUUGUAUUCUGCAGUGAAAUUAGUUACUCGGGCCAAUUUUGUGCUAUGCUGUUAUUAAAGUGCUCAACUCCUUGCUUUUGACGGUAGAAAUGUUUGAUAUAGAAAAUCAAGUCUCUACACCACUGAUGUAAUAGGUGGUUAUUAAUUUAUUAUGGAUAUGUUAAAUGGCUGAUAGUUGAAUUUUGUGCUUGUAUGUACCUUUGGUAAAGGCUGGAUUAAGCAAGAUGAUCCAACACUUGUUCACUUGUGGAGCUACUAUGAUUCUUUUUGAGAAAUUUGUUAAUCGUUUUGCUUUAUGACACACUCUUUAUUAAAAUGAACAUAAUUUGAAACAAAUUGAGUCGAUAUUCAUGCACUUUUGUUCAAAGCAUCCAUGGGAUUGCUUUUGCAUCAACAUAGUUGAGAUAGCUAAUGAUGAAGUGAUCAAUUUAAUAGAUGAUAAUGAGGGAAGUACUUGAUGAAAUGUCUGGAAAGAGUACAAUGCUUUCAUUGUUGACCUUUAUACCUCCAAGCUCAUGCUUUGUGAUUACUUUAAGGUGUCAUCAAACCUAGAUGCGUUCUGCAGAAUAGCAUGCGCUUUGUAUUUUGAUUCUUUCUUUGUGUGAUAAUGGCUUAUGUUGCUUAACAUACUGGAUAAAUUCAUGAACUGGUCUCAGGUAUCUGAACCUGGAGUUCACCUCUUUGGUGUUUUAAUUCAAUUACGUUAUUGUUUUUAUAUGAUGGUUUUGGAAAAAUCAGGGAAAGGAUUAAGAGAGAACCUUAAAGCAAAGAAUAUGUACUAGGUUCUUAAUAUAUUUCUUUCAGGACAUUUGAUCUACUUUCUACUAAACUAGAACUCCGCUCAAUCCCUAAAGAAAUCUAAGCCUUAAUACCAAAUUAGUUCUGCAUUUGUUGUGAGAUGAGUGACAUUAAGCUUGUGCAUAUGUCACAGAACAUGGUAAAAUAAAAUUUGUUUACACUGACACUUUAUAGGAGGCUGCAUAAACAAUUUCAAAGAAAUUGAGCCAAGAAGGCUGUUCUUCUGUUUGACUUACAACAUCUAUGGAAUUGCUGUUGCAUUAACACAUUUGAGAUAACUAGAUAUGAACUUUUAAAUUCAAUAAAUGAGAACAAGAAUUGCUUGGUAAUAGAAGUCUUCAAAUACUAUGAUGCGUUUACAAUGAGAGCAUACCUCUAAGCUUGUUGUUUGUAGUUGCCUUUAAAUUUUAUUAAAUGAUGUAUUUUUUGGGAACACAUGCUCACCUCUUGAUAUGUCAUGUAGCUCACAGUUUUAGAUUGAUAGAUUCCUGGUUUAGCCAUGAUUAGUUAGGUGUGACCAUGUUUUUGUGAGCCACAUUUUCUCUCUUUCCUGCCUUCUAGGAGCAGAACCAGAAGUUCAUCUCUGUUGUGGUUAAUUAUGUGUUACCUUGCUCUUAGUACACCGUUGCUGUUGUCAGUAUUAAUUUGAUUAGGUUAGGUUAAUAAAAUUUGUGUAUUUGAUAAACUAUCUAGUGUACAAGGGUAAAUGCCUCCUUUUGCCACUAUACUCUUGUUUUUUGUAAGAUUUUUGCCUGUGCACAAGUUUAUUUGUAUGGAUUCCAUCCUUUUAACUUGUGAUUCUGUUAAGGACUGUCUUUUUGUCUAACUCUGUUAGUUUGAGUGCCACAUGUUGGUCAAUCAUUCACUGAACUACGAGAAAAUGAUGACGUGUGGAAUUUUAAAAAACAGGCAAAAAAAAAAAAGCAAAAAGAAAGAAAAGAACAAAAAGAAACAUGUUUUCUUAAAUUAUUAGAACCUAAUCCAUAAAAAAACAAUUCAGUUUCUUCUUUUUAGACCAAAGAACGACCUUUAAUUAAGACAGACGAGGAAUUCUACUAGAUAAUCAACCUAUUUCUCCUCAAUCAUCUAUUUUCUACCAAGCUCAAAGCUUUAACUCCACCCCGCCCAAUUAAGCUUUUGUUCAGGUUUAUGGUGGCUAGGUAACCACCAGUGUCCAAAUGGAUACUAGGUCAUCAUAUCAAAUUUGUUGAAACCAGCUUGAUGCAUUUGCGACCUUAGCAACAUGUGUGUGCGUGCAUGUCUGAUGAGAACAAAGCUAAGAGAGUUUUAUACUUUGUUGGGAAGCCGCAUAAUCUUCAAGAUGUGAUCUUUGCUAUAUUAUUGCCUCCUGGCCUUUGUAAACAUAAUUGCUGAUAUUUUAGUUUCAACUUAGAUUCUGUCUGUUUUGGUUAUAUAUAGUUUUAUCUGUAUCAUCUCAUCAUCAAAUGUAUUGGUCUAAAUAAAACUCCAUGUUGAUAUUUCUACAGGGCCCUUUGGUCGAGGCCAGAUGCAGAAGCCUUUUGAAGAGACUACCUUCUCUCUUAAGGUUGGUGAGAUAAGUGACAUAGUGGAUACUGACAGUGGAGUUCACAUCAUCUUGAGGACUGGCUAAUCAUGCAGGGAGAUCAUGGCGUGUAUUGAACAAAUAUUCGAUGUACUUUGCGAACAUAUUCAAGCAUUUACAGGAUUGGUUUUGCUUUCAUUUAAUUCCACAAUGAUCACAUAGUGGUCCUACCUGUUUGGUCAUUCUUAUUGUGUUGAAUUGGUUCUUGACUCGUUAAGGCAUCAUCCCCUGACUCAGUUCAGGCUCGUGUGCUUGGGAUUGUAUUCCUUCUGAAUGACUUCUGGGUGUGCUUUGGGUGAAAUUUAACAGACUCUCUAAUAAUAGCUUCAUUGGAAUGAAUGGAUCCCACAAAUAAUUUUAUAUUUAACUAGCUGUUAGUUCAUGCCCUAAGUAGAGGUUAUCAACAAGAAAGACAUGGAUAAAUAGCAGUAAAAGAUUGCAGUGGUUACAAUAAGUUCUGGUGUUGUUUCUGUCGAAGGACCGCUUGGCCUUCCAAUGCUAAAUUAUCAUUUCAACGAGUCAUAUUCUAUUGGUUAGACUAUGCAUGUUAAUGAUCCUCCCUUGGCCCUCUAGUGCUAAGUUAUCGUGUUGAGCUUUUUCUUAUGUUUAUAAUGAUGUGAUUUUUUUUUUAAAUUUUUGCAACGAAACUAAAAAGUUGAUAGUGUGCUAAUAAAUAAUAAUAAUUUUUUAUUGAUUCAAAUGAAAUGUUGAGACAGAAAGCUGAAUAAAGAUGUAUAUUAAGGCAUUUGAUAUGGGAAGCUUUUUAAUUUUUUAAUUUAAUUAUAUAAUAAUAAAAUUGUUUUUUUUAUUAAAAAAUAAAUAAUUUAAACUCGUUGAAAAAAAUUAUAGUAUGAUUACACUACCACCACACCAUGCACUCUUUAAAAAAGCUACAAAUAGACAAAACUAGGAGGCAAAACUCCACGCUGGCAAUCCUAUAUCCUGUUUAUCUCCAUAUCCGUUAGAUCGAUUCUAACAAACGGUUAUUACAAAAGCACCCGCUUGACGCGGAUUGAACCAUGGAUAGAACAUAAUCCUACGGAUAUUACAUAAAGAAGGCAGCCAUGCUGGCAAUCUCAGGCAUCCUUUAAACCUCGUUAAAACAUCCGUCAGAUGAUAACCAACCAACGGUGGAUAUUAAACCACCAAAAACUCAUAUCCGCCAAAACAACUGCCUUUUUCUGAAGAGCUCUGCCUCGUAUAAAUACCAGGCCAGACCUCUCUAUGCAAAUCACCUUUCAAGCCCAUAAAAAAAGAGAAAAAACUCUCCCCUCUUUGAUUUUCCGAGAAAAUACUCAAGUUUUGCAGGAAAGUUUGCGAGGAUGUCGGGAAGAGGAAAGGGCGGAAAGGGGCUGGGAAAGGGAGGUGCAAAGAGGCACAGGAAGGUGUUGAGAGAUAACAUCCAAGGAAUCACAAAGCCAGCAAUUAGAAGGCUAGCAAGAAGAGGAGGCGUGAAGAGAAUUAGUGGGCUGAUCUACGAGGAAACUAGAGGGGUUUUGAAGAUCUUCCUUGAGAACGUGAUUCGUGAUGCUGUUACUUAUACAGAGCAUGCUAGGAGAAAGACUGUCACUGCCAUGGAUGUUGUCUAUGCUCUUAAGAGGCAAGGUCGUACUUUGUAUGGGUUUGGGGGUUAGGAUUUGUCGGGUCUUCUAUUUUGGUUGUAUUGAUUUCAUUUGCGUAGGAAUUUAGAUCUUCUAUGGGCUGGAAUUGAAAAAUAGGAUCUGUAAUUGAAACAAUUUCUCAAUCCUGAUUCAGCUGUUGCCAUUUUAGGCCAAAAUUAUUUGCUUCAUUUUAAUUCUUUUUGGACUUGAUGCUACAAAAAGCUCCGAUAAGUGGUUUCUUUUGAGAUUUGAGAAAUUGGGCUACAAGGGUUUAUGAGAAAGAAUCAACAAUUCUUUGGCCUGACAUAAAAGAGUCAUUGGUGUAGUGUAGUCAAGCUGCUCGAUCUUUGGUCUGUGAAUGGUUUUGAUUGAAGAAGGUGCGGUGUGUUUGGGCAUGGAGGUAUAGGCCCGCACGCCUUUCGUAUUUUUGUUUUGGUCUUUUUUGAGAAAAAAUAAUAGAAAUGGGGAAAAGGCAGAGAAGAGACCAGAUGCUGACAAAUUUCAUGUCGAUUGUAUUUUUAUUCAUCUGAUAUCUCAUUUUUUUUAGUUGUUUUGGAAAGGGAGAGUAGCCUGAUAGAUCAAAAUCUUUCAGUUUGGAGAAGAUUUAGGGGUGUGUUCAGUAACACAACAUUUUUCAUUUUCAGUUUUUUUUCUAAAAAGAAUCAGAAAACAAGUUUAUUUUUAAUUUUUUAAAUAUUUUUCCAACCUAAGAAACUGGAAAAGAUGUUCAUAUCACACUGUUUUUUAUUUGGAAAUAGAAAUCAUGGUGGUUUUUUUUUAUAUAUAAUUUUCCCCCAAUCUAAUUUGAUUUAUGGGUUUUUAUUGUUUGGUGAUUUUGCUAAUUAGGUUUUAAUUUGUUUAGUUUUGAUUUUGAGUUUGAGUUUGAUAGCUUGUGAUUUUUGUCUUAUCUAGGGAUUAAAAUAAAAGGACUUGCUUUGAGAAAGUGCUCACAAAUUUAAAAAAUAAAUUUAAGAAAAAAAUUGCUAGUUGUGGUUUAAAAAAUACAUGUCUGAUUAAAAUUGUUAUGAUAUGAAUUUUUACAUGUAAAAUAAAUAAAAAUUAUGUUUUUAUAAAAGAAAAGGAAAUUAUUUCAACUUUUUACAAAACAAAAGUUCGAAAUACAAUUACACACGGUAUAAAAAAUAUAAACUAUUUAAAUAAUUAAAUAAUUUUUUUUAUAUGGUUGAAUAAAAAAUAGAAACUACUACAAUAUCAAAUUGUAUCUUUAGUAUAUUAGAGCCCUAUUUGUUUCAUGAAAAAUAAUUUUCUAAACUUUCAUAUAUUUAUUUAUUAUUAUGAAAGUUGAUCAAUGAGAGAAAAAUUUGAUUUGAUUUUUAAAAAAAUAUUUUUUAGAAGUUCUAAAAAAUUAAACAAUAUCUUAUUAUUUAUUGAUUAUAUUAAAUUUAAUACUUAAUUUUUUAAUUGUUAUAUAUUUUAUUUUGAUUUUUUUUAAUUUUAUUUUUUAAAAUUUAAUUUAACUCCAUUAUUAUAUUAAUUUUGAUAUUCAUUUUUUAUAUAUAUAUUUUUUCUAUUUUUUUAAUUUAAUUUUUUAUCUGUUGAUAAAAUCCUAGCACAUAUUUAUCAAGACUUCGUUAUAUAAUGACACAUACUUACCACCAAAUACAACGAGAAACGUGGAUUGGACGAAUAUUUUACAUGCCAUCAACUUUGAGAACUGAAAGAAAAGAGGAUAGAAAAAAAAUUAAGUAGGUCUUAUAAAUAUAACCUUCAAACUCGGGUGUUUUUUUUUUAAUUAAAAAAAAUGUUCUUUUAAGAAUUUUUUAUUUUAACCCACAACCAAUGUUAUUUCAACAUUUAAAAAAAAAAAAAAAAAAACUUAAGUAAAAACGCUAAAUCUAGGCUUUGAGCCAUGUACAUGUCAUAGAUGCAGUGGUUGAUGUGAAAAUUAAUUGCAAAACCCAUCUGAUUUGAUAAAUAAAGGAAAAUCCAUUUGGCGAUGCCAGGCCAUUAGCUCAUUUUCUUUUCUUGACAAAACCAAUACCUCUUACACCCACCCUGUACAACAUCAACAGCAAAAUCGUGAUCAGAAUUGAUUUACAGGUUUAAGUUCUCGUGUUCAUAGCUCUGGUCCAAGUUAAUGCAAAGGGCCAGGUCAAGUCCUCCCGGCAGUGAUUUCCCCACUAAAUUUCAUUCUCUUUGCGACUUGGAGCUUCGAAUCACCACUACCAGUCUGAAACUGGAAUGACAUAUCAUGCUGGAAAUGGCAAUCAGAGCCAUUCCGGCAUCCCUUGGGAGUUCUAAAAUACAUACAAGGCUUCUGAAACUUGGGCUUCAAUUCUCUGUUUUUCGAGUUUUGUAUCGAUUCUGGGUUUUGAGUAUGAUUAUAAUAAUGACUUCCAUUAUGGAAUAGAUUUCGAUCCUUCAUUUCUUUCUUUGCCGUUCCAUGUUCCUUUAUGAGGUUCUUAAUGUAGUUCACAUCCUUCACAAGGUUAGUUUUCUUUCCUGCUUGAGGAACACUGAUGGGCUGUUUAGGCUUCUUAACCAGAGUGGAUUUCACCAAAUCAAACAUUGGGUUGGGAUGGAUGUCUUUGAAAUAAGAUAUUUGGGGUGUUUUUGAUUCUGUAGGCACAAGGCUUGGUGUAGUUUGCAUUGAAUUAGACGCGGAAAACAAGUGCCCAACUGGUGGCCUAGGUGCUGAGACUUUGCCAGGUUCUUGAAUGGGCACAGGAACUCCUAAUCCAGUUGCUGGAACAGCAUCCUGAUGCAUAGAGGUUCUAGUUACUGUCGUUUGUACCUGACUAAGUUGAUGGUGCAAGCUUCCAUCAUAAGGCAUUGAUGGAAAAUGCACUGCGGGUUUUGGACAGGGUAUGGGAAUCUGGCCCGUUGGCUUUGACCAGGGCAACUCCUCACUAGGUAGGUGCUGCAAGUUUCCAUUAGCAGGGGAUGGUGCUGAAACCAUGGCAGGUUUUGCAUACAAUGGGGACCUGGAACUGGAAACUGGCCUAGAUGUAACAGGAGGUGUUUGAUUGCCACUGAUAAGUUUGUCAACCAUUUUGGGGUCUCUAAAGAUUUUAACAAGUAAAUCAGUGUCAAUCAAGCCUCCCUGCUCCUUGCUUUUCAUGAUAGCAGUAACAGCAGCAGAAGCUGCUGUGAUUGGAUGAGUACCUGGAUCAGGUAAUCUUCCAAGUUCUGGUUUUUGACUUGCAGGUGGAUUUAGAGCAGGGGUGUUGCACUUUGAAGAGUUCAGGAUUCCAGAUGACAAUAAAACUGGAGGCAAUGCUGGUGACAGGGAAGUUGUCGGGUUUUUUAGUGGUUCUGUCAAAGCAGGUGGCAUUUCUGCAGCUUCUUCUUCUUCAACAGGAAUGAGAGGGAUAAUUGGAGUGAGGCUAUCAUCAUAAUUUUCCUCUUCCACGUCUAAAGAAACAGCAGGGCUACACAGAAAAGAAUGUGAGGCCUAGUCAGACGAAGAUGCUUUACAGAAUCUUGGUUUGCAAAAAUAAGAAAUUUUACCUGGGAGGAACAGAAGAAGGGCGUGGAUAAACUGCUUCAAGAACUCUCAUUUCCCUCAGUUUUUGAGCCUCUGACUCCUGGCUUUCUUCUCCAUCCGUGACAUGCCAGUUGUAAUUCACAACAAACUGUUUUCAGACGAGAAAAGCCAGCAGUUGGGGUUUUAAUAAUUCAAUCACUUGACACCACAUUCUACAUCCUAAAGGUCUAAUGACAUUAAGUUAUCACAUCACGAUGUCACCACAUGGUGCAUAAGAAACAGCAUAUUUAUGCAAGUAGAAGGGAAAAUAACUGAGAAAAUCUGCUUACAUUUGGUGGGCACUUCCAUUGAACCCUAGGAAUGCAGGAUAAUUCCUUUAUACAUGGAUUCAAAAAGUGAGUGCCUUCAAAUCCAGGGGGAAGGUCAUUCGAAUCCUUACUGCUUGAAAUCGGCAAAAGCCGCGAUGCAUUUUUCUGAAGAAGAUCUCGGACUUGUCCACCAACUUCUGAAGGACAAUCCUCGGAUAGAAACAGCCUCACCUAUUAAACAUCAGAAACAAGUCCAUAACAAGAAAUAAAUACCCAGUAACAUUUAGAAACCCUUACAUUAACAUAAAAGGGAAUCAUCUAGGGGCACUCAAAAAACUGAGAGCAAGAUAAACUGCUUAAAAAUUAGUUAGAAGACUGCAGACAGCUAUCAACUCAAUCAGCACAAGUAAAAACUAGGGCACCAGUAAAUUCUCAAACGACUAUGAUAUGACCUAGAAAAGAACACUGUCAUGGUGAAAAUCUAAUUGUCAACAAAAGCAUUAUGGCAGUGUGAACAAGCAACGUUCAUACAAAUCCGAACUAAAUGAACCACCUAAUAAAAUCGCAUUAGCAACAUUAAUUUGAUUCACAAGAUCCUGAAUACACACUACAAACCUGGACGCUUUUUCACCCCAAUCAACUCCUGCUAUUUUGACAAAUGAGCACACUCAAUUAUGAAAACAUAAAUGACUCGAUGCACUAGACAAUCAAUUCCCGAUUAUAUUGUUUGCAGUUCUUCUCUCAUACUAUAAUUGAAAAAUCAUAGAUCAGAAAUCAAAUCUCCAGCAACUAAUCCACUUAUCUAUUAAGAGCAUUUUAAAAAGGUUCCACGCCUCCAACUAUUUCCAAUGGUCCUAUGAAGCAUCUCAAUAGUGCUUGCUAAUGAUCUACAAGGAAAUUCAAUUCAGAUUCAAAUGGUGCAAAUGAGUGAGCAAUUUGUAGAUCAAAGAAAGGACUUUGGUUAAGGACUUCAGACAGAAUGCCCAACUACAUCAAUAAUAGAUAUCACUAUUAUACACAUCCAGAUAAUAAUCGCUUGCUGUAUCAGAUUUAAAUUUGGACUACUUGAGAAAUGAAAGAAGAAAAGGAUUAAUAAAAUAAUUACAGGUAUACCUGACAAAGAUAAAGACCUGGUGCCCACGAAACCCUGUUUGAUUUCCUCGAUCGCUUCAUAUCACUAAAUCUAAAAUCCUUCUCUCUUCAAAUCAAAUCAAAUUUUAUCAACUAUUUUUCGAUUUCAGUAAUAGUAACUGAAACAGUUUAAUCAGAUUUUUUUUUUCAGAUUUCAAAAACAAAUAGUCCAACACGUCUUUAUUUUUUUGAACAAAUUCUCUGAUGAUUUUCGCGAAAGAAGAAGAUAUAUAUAUACAAGACAGACGCGUCUGUAGAAGGAAGCAGGAGAGGAGGAGAGCAGAUGGAUAUAAGGAGGAAUCAACCCGCCAGAGAGGACGGUGCUUAUCGGUCCGGGCUUGGGGCUUGGCCUGGACUAGCUUACUUUUUUUUAACCUAAUUAGAUGGUAGAUCAAGGCAAGUCUAGGAUAGCGCAGCAGCCAAGUUAACAUAAAUCAACUCUAUUUUAUUUUAUUUAAAAAAAUUAAAAAUAAUAUUAUUUAAAAAAAUUAAUAGGUUUUAAUUGGUUUUUCUCGAACAGAACAAAUUUUAAGACCAUGUUACACUAGCCCCUUUUUUUUAUUAUUAUUAUUAAAACCCUAUUUAUAACUAUUUUCUUUUUGAAAGAUUAGACAUCGCAUAUAAAGUUGGCAAGUGGUGAUGAGUUGGUGGCUAAUAACUGGUCCACCUGUCUGCUCUUAUCUUUUCUUUUGUUUGAUUUUGACUUUCCGAAUUUAUUAAUAAUCGCCACGUAUCUUUAUUCUAGGCUUACCCCACACGUCGGAAUUUUAUUCUUGCCUUGUUAAUACUCAAUUAUGUGAAAGCUAAUUACUCUUGUUAAACUAAGUAUUAUGAUAAUAAUCGUACGUGAACCCAAACUUGAAGUUAUGCUCUUGAGUUUACAGUCAUUAAAGUAUAUUUUGGAGAGUUAAUUAUACUUUAAUCUUUGUUGUUUAUCAAAAUUAAUCAAUUGUUUCCACUGUAGCCUUGAUUUAGUAUUAUUCUUCUUAAAGAACAGUAUUUUCUUUCAUGAAUGAAUUUUUCAACCAAAAAAAAAUCUUUUCUAAUUUUAGAAAAUAAAAAAAUUCAAUAAGGUGAUAAAUAUAAUUAGAUUUAAAAUAUUAAAAUUAAAUAUAUGAUUUUUUAAAAUCAUGAGAACUAAUCAAUAAAUCUUUCAAAUUACAAAAAUAAUCUCAAAUUCAAUCCAAUUUUUUUUUUUUAUUAUUAACAUGGGUGUCCGGGCUAACUUGCGCGUAUCUCGACUAAUCUAAUGAGUCCUGAAGUUAACGACCAUGUAAGUCUCCAGUGACCCCGAGGUUUGUGGGACUCGAACCGAUGAUUUCUAGAAAACAAAUUUAGAACCCGACUAGUUGAGUUGCACCCCUUAAGACUAAUUCAAUCAAAUUCUUAUGAUUUGAAUUUUUUCCAAUUAUUUUUCUUAAUAUUUUCUCCUUGUAUAACUCAAAAUCAAAAUCAAUUCAACAUGGAAAAGGGUCAAGAGAAUCACAAUUACAUUUUGAUAAUAAUUUUUAUUUAUUUUCUUUCCAAUAAAGCUCCUUGACCAGCCGGGUACGUGAGCAUUGGGGGAGAAUUUUCCUUAAACAAGGUCGUAAUUGGAGGCCUCAUUGUGAUUUCCAACUUGGACGGUUCAUUUCCGAGAGCUUUCUUAGACUGAAAAUUUAACUUCAGGCCCUGCUGUGGCUGAGUUCUUGAUCGGAUUUGAUGCUAAUUUCUUCUAAGAUUGAGAUAGCAACACUGAAUUAUGUGUUUUCCUCGCAUAUAGAAAAGCUUAUGGAUAUUUGAAGACCAUGAUUUAUCAUUAAUUAUGUAUUGGGCCAGCUAAUGAGCCUGACACUGUAAACAGACUCAAUCAUCAUGAGCCUAACCCUAAUCAACAGAGCCUAUCACUAUAUUAGGUAAACUUUUUUCUUUUUUUUUUAAUGUGUCCAGUGCUUUGAAUAUUCAGAAUAUUACAUUAAACAUAUGGUACAGAUUGGAGAAAUCGAUAUGUGAAAGAAUCGAGGAUCAAAUGAUUUUAGUUACCACGUACAUCCAUGCUAAUUAAAUAAUAAAUAAAAAAGAAUUUGAAAGUUCUACAUCCAAAGUUAAAGAAUCAAGUCGAUAAUUUACGAUCUGUCUUCCUCCACCUUGACAACCCCUCCUCCACCUUGUACGGUCCUUAUUUUGAAACGCUCAAGCUUACGUGACAAUUUUUUUAUUGUCGAUCCUUCAACACUGCGCCGUGAGCUUGAAUCCACCUUCAAGUCUCUUGACACGUCUCUAUGAACAUCAAACUUCUCUAAAUUCACCUUGUUUUUGAUUCUCUGAGGAAGUUUUUCAUACAGUUCCAAGAUGGCUCCCCAGAGUUCCUCCCGUGUUUCUUUUUCUCCACCGGCCUCCAUUGUGGUUGCAGGUGCAUGUUGGUCUGCUGAUCUCUCUUCAGGACCACAAGUUUGUCGUCCCAUAUUGUCUGAAAUCACAGUACUGAAUGAGGUUUGAUCAGGCUGUGAUGAGUAGUGCUCCUGGUAGUAGCUGCUAAAGGGUCUUGCUGGCUGAGGAAAGUCAAUCGUCUUGUAUGGUGUGAUUGGAAGGUAUUGGGAUGGCCCUGCUAGCAUAUAUAUAUACUGCAUGGUAAGGGCUUCUGAUCAUUCCAAGUAGGACCUGGUCGGCAUUUCAUAAGUCAAACGUUUUUAACUCUGAAAUAGAGUGAAAUGAUCAAACAAGAAGAAAUGGUCAUCCUAUUUUUAAUUCUGAUUGGUAUAGCAAGUACCAUGAAUCUGCGUCGACACCUUCUAUGCAAAAACACACGACAAACAGAGACGAAUUUCAAAGGAAUUUUACUAAAUUGUGUUCUAGUUAGGUUUACUAAUAUAUAUAUAAUUCUUAAAAUUCGAAAUUUCUUCUACACCAAUACUACCCUAUUUUUAUAUUUUUUCAUGUGGAUCGGUUAUAAAGACUCAAAUUUGUUUUUCAUUUCCUAUCUUUCUUCUUCUUCUUCUUCUUUUGUAAGAGUUCUCUCUUGUUUUUAAUUAUCAUUUAUAUCCCUUUUAUCAUUUUUUUUCAUAUUGUUUUAAGAUUCCUUUCUAUGCUGAGGAAUUCUUCGUGUUUAUUUCUUACAAAUAUUUUUAUUUUUAUUUUUAAAAAAAGAAUAUUAUAUUUCUAUUUAUCAUUUUUUAUAUAAAAGAAUUGUAUUUCUAUUUUUUAUUUACUUGAUGUCAGCUAAUCAAUGCUAUUAAACUAACUCGACAGAUUAACUUGGUAACUCGACAAUAUGAAAUCUGGUCCAAAACUAUUCAAAUAAAAAUUAAUUUGACCAAAUCCAGUAAUUUAAUAGGUCAAUCCAUAAUUAGUCGAACUAAUUAAGAUUUGACUUUUAAUUUUUUGAAAACAAUACUUGAAACAAUGAAUUUUAGAGUGACUCAUAACUUAGACCGAGUCAACUGAACCUAUUUUAAUAACUCAUGGUAAGGUGAAUAUUUCGUACAAAAAUGAGGGAUUGAAGUGGUGAUUUUGCCUAAGUUUAUUCAUGACAUUUCUUCAGAAAAUCUUCUUGACUUUUCUCCUGCAGCCAAGUGGCACCGGCUUGCAAAGGAAAUUCGUUGGGUGACAGCAGAACCUUGAAGAGUCUAUGAACUUAAUUCAAGACCUCGUGCCUAUCACGUAACAUAUGAUCGAUCAGUACUUUUUUUUUUUUAAGUUUAAUACGGGUGUCUGGAACACCUUGUGCGUAUCUUAAUUAAUUUCACAAGUUUUAAAGUUAACGACCAUGUAAACCUCCAAUAAAUAAAAAAUAAAAAAAAUUUUAAUCCCAGAAUUUUUAUUAUUGGAUCAGUACUCUUUCUUAUUUAUUCAUAUCGAUGGACCUAAAUGAUAGCAUUUUAUCCCAUGUGAUUGCUGCCACGUACAGUCGAAACCAUUUAUUAACAAAAAUAAGUUGUUUGUGCUGAUAUGAAAAGUAAGAUGUCUCUGAUUGAUUUUUUAAAUCCGGCUUCAAUGAUUACGACACAGGUUUUGAAGAUGCUGAUAUUACAGUUGUGGUGGUUUUUUUUUUUAAAUAAAAUAUUUUUAAAUUAUAUUUUUAAAAGUUAAAAAUAUAUUUUUUAUUUAAAAAAAAUAUAAGUUACUUGUCAUCCAAACAUACACUUAACUGGAACAAUUUUAAUUUUAUUUAUUUUAAUAUAUCACAACAACAUUGUUUUUGUUACAUAAACAAUCAAUGAGCUGCAAAUGAGUUUUUAAAUUUUUUUAAAUCUAGAUCCAAAAUACAUGUGGCAAGAUUUUAAUACUAUGAUAAAGUAAAAAGCCAUUAAAAAUAAUGUGAAAAAAAUAAAAGUGCACUUUAACCAUGUGGGUUAAGUAUUAUUUGAUUUGAUUUUAUGUUAAAUUAUUAAACUCAAUUUAAUUCUUGACUCGGUUUAAGAUUUUGUAUAUAAAUUAAUUGAGUUAUUCAAAUAAUAUCACUUUAUUUUUAAAAAAAUAAUUGAAACAAUAUUAUUAUUUUAAAAAAUAAUUUUUAAAUAUUUUAUCCCAAGUUAACCUUUAAAACCUGACCCAAAUAUCUCUUUGAACCAAGACUAAUAAAUAUAAUAUUAUAUUUUUAAAAAAUAUAGCUUAAUUAGUUUUAAAAUUUAUAAUACGUUUAAAAUCACUAAAAAUUUAUAUUAUCAUCAAUUUUAAGUUUUAUGGAAUUAGAUGAGAUAAACAAAGGACACGGUAAAAAGAAAAGUGAUUUUAUGAAUUAUGCUGAAACAUCACCUUGAACGUCGUGGUGGAGCCCUUGUGAUCAUUCCCCUGUCAGUGAAAUAAUUGGAAUAAGAAAAAAGAAAGCAAAAAACUUUACAAUGCAUCAAUUAUAAUAAUGUAUCUUCUUUAAGCUACCAGAGGAUUUAUGUUAUACAUAGAGGGUUUAUGUUUUGUAAGUGCCAUAAAUAGUGUAGAAGGUUUGAGCCACUGUAAGGAGCAGGAUAAUCAAGGCAGCCAUUGCUGAUAUAAAAGACCAAGGAGUGCUAAAAUAAGUAAACUUGAAGCUUGCCCAUUGCAAAUGCCAUCUAUCCUUGUAGUAUUGGUGAACAUCACUGAACAUCUCGGACAAAUAACACCUUUCGAUAUCAAAUGCUACUUCCUUGCCCAAAUCAUUGACGAAUCUUGCAACUUCUGAAUCAGUGCCAAAGUAAUUCUCAAUAAUAUUGCAGUCACACAGAUACUCUACGUCUUUAAUGGUGUUGAUCAGGCAGUCUAGAAGAGUUGCAUAGGUCGUGAAAUGAUUGGAAGAACCACUGUGACACUGCUCGAAUGCUACACAGUUAAGCAAAAAAGAACUUAUGGUAUCAUCAAUGGUUAUGGUAGGCAUUUCUAUCACCCCGUUCUUGAAUUUCACCACCAAGAAACUAUCCGCAGGAUCCCCUUGACCGAGCUUAAUUCCAGCACGGCGAAGUUUGGAUACAGAUUGGAUCAUGGGAGUCGAUGUGUCCACGCAGCGUGGCUGGGCUUGCUCAGAAUCUAUGAAACUUGAACGAACUAAAUCAAGUAGAUGUUUGGCUUUGCCAUUAUUAUGCCUAGCAAUAAUAUAAUCUGGUCUUUGCAGUGCAUUAUUGAAGAAAUCCAAAGCAAGCUUGCUCAAAGAAGGGCCAGAUUCUUCUCCAGGCGUUCUUGUUAUCUCAAAUAAACACUCAAGAACAAAGAAAGGAAUUUGGUUCUCAAGUCUAAGUAAGUCCCUGUAAAAAAAUGGUAUGAUCCACGCCAUGGUAACAAUGGGAUCAUCGGCCUCAAAUCCAACUAUUUCUCCAACUUUACGAAACAAUUCUAUAAUAAAAACGCCAUCAAGAACCAUCAUUUCAACAAAUUCACAAGUGUCAAGAUGGAUAAUUUGCGAGUAACACUCUCUUGCCUUCAUUUCUAGCGGCUGUAUCGCCCUCAACAAGACUUCUAAGUCCAAACCGUUGUUCUGUGUCCUGGAGAGCAUAGACCCUAAAUACCCCCACUUGUGCUCUUCAAUCAUCCUAAGAUGCGCCUCACCAUGAUGAUAAGGCCCUAUUGAGACUAUAUGAGGUUGGUAGGACUUACCGUUGAUAUCAAUGAAUCUUUGGGGGACUUUAAAGAUGCAACAUGAACUGUUAGCGGCUGCUUUUGUCAGUAACCGUGGUGGAUCGGAGAUUUUUUGGCGCAUCAAGUUCAGGCGAUACUUGUUCACCCCCCAGAUUUUUGUGGCAUGAUUGGCUUCUUCAUCUUCUACCGAGUUGCUUCCCAGUUGAUCACUAGUCCCGAUCAUGAUUUCCUUGGGUCAAUAGUCUAGAAAGUUACAAGACAUGUGCAACUGAUUUCCUUUCUUGACCUUGAGAAGAUGGUGGCAAGGCAAUCACCGGCGAUUGUGUUGGGACAGGCUAGCAACAGCCAGAUAUUGACAAAUAUCAAUACGGAUUGGGAAAACCUCAAAAACGUACCUCAGCUAUUGGGUUAGUAUCAAUUUUGCCCCUAUAUAAUUUAUAUUUAGAAAAUAUUGUGCUUGACAACUUUAUAUUUUGUAUUUAAUUUAUGAAUCUCUGUAUAAUUAUUUAUUAGGAUUCUAAACUUCAAUUUUAAACUUUUGUGUGAUAACCUCUUUAAUAAAAUUCCAUGUUAUUUAUUUUUUUGCCUUUUUAUAUAGUUUUUAUAUGUGUCAUUUCAUAACCGAUAAAAUAACUCCUUGGAAUUAAAUGUGUUGAAAAUAAAUAGUUUUAAAUGUAUAAUCUUGCCCCCUUUUUAUUAUUAUUAUUUUUGUUAUUAAAAUAUUUUCAUACUAAUUUACACAUUAAGUAUACCUAAAUAAAUAUACUUAUUAUUUUAAAAAUUAUAACAAUUAACAUAAUACAUCACAAUUACUCACGGAAGCAUUAAUUAUUUAGCAAAUAUAUUAGGUUGUCAAUGAAAUAUUAUAUUGGAAAAAUACUCAGUCUUCAUAUAAUUAUAUAUUUUAUUUUAAAAAAAUAACAUUUCUUCACAUCGUGCAAACCAGAACACAACACCGCAUCUCACCAAUAAUCCCACCGCUUCCAUCAUCAAGCCCAAAAUCGUCAAUUCAGCUCAAAAUAUCGACACCUCACCAUCCACUUCAUUGUUACUCAUUUUCCACCUUCCUUAUAUUGACCAUCCUACCCUUCUCCAGCAUCCUCUACCUCCCGCUAUAUUAAACCCCUCCAUCAGCAGGCCAAAUCUACAGGCUCGCAUUAUAUCAAAAACCCAUCAACUCCAUCUGACCGUCCAUCAAUGGCAUCCGAAUCAAACCAACCCGGAUCCGACUCCACUAUUCCUGUCAACGGCGAAAUCACACCCAAAAUCGCCCUGAUCACCGGUAUAACCGGCCAAGAUGGUUCUUAUCUUACCGAAUUCCUCCUGAACAAAGGCUAUGAAGUUCAUGGCUUGAUCCGUCGGUCAUCCAAUUUCAAUACGCAGCGGAUUAACCAUAUUUAUAUAGAUCCACACAAUGCUCAUAAGGCCCGAAUGAAACUCCACUAUGCAGAUCUAAGCGACGCGUCGUCUCUCCGUCGUUGGCUCGACACCAUCAACCCCGACGAAGUCUAUAACCUGGCGGCCCAAUCACACGUGGCUGUCUCUUUCGAAAUCCCUGAUUACACGGCGGAUGUCGUCGCCACCGGAGCCCUCCGCCUUCUUGAGGCGGUGAGAUCUCAUAUUGCCGCGACAGGGCGGAGCCAUAUCAAGUAUUACCAAGCGGGAUCUUCGGAGAUGUUUGGAUCUACGCCGCCUCCGCAAUCAGAGACCACCCCGUUUCAUCCAAGAUCCCCAUACGCGGCGUCAAAAUGCGCGGCGCAUUGGUAUACUGUCAAUUACAGGGAAGCUUAUGGGUUGUAUGCUUGCAAUGGGAUUCUUUUCAACCAUGAAUCUCCACGUAGGGGAGAGAAUUUUGUGACCCGAAAGAUUACGAGAGCUGUUGGGAGAAUUAAGGUGGGGUUGCAGAAUAAGCUGUUUUUAGGGAAUUUGCAGGCGUCGAGGGAUUGGGGUUUCGCAGGGGAUUACGUGGAAGCAAUGUGGAUGAUGUUGCAGCAGGAAAAGCCUGAUGAUUACGUGGUUGCGACGGAGGAGUCGCAUACGGUGGAGGAGUUUUUGGAUGUGGCAUUUGGAUAUGUUGGAUUGAAUUGGAAGGAUCAUGUUGUGAUUGAUAAGAGGUAUUUUAGGCCUGCUGAAGUGGAUAAUUUGAAAGGGGAUUCGAGUAAGACGAGGAAAGUGCUUGGUUGGAAGCCUAAAGUUGGGUUUGAGCAAUUGGUGAAGAUGAUGGUUGAUGAAGAUAUUGAUUUAGCCAAGAGGGAGAAGGUUCUUGUUGAUGCUGGCUAUAUGGAUGCCCAGCAGCAACCUUGAACUGAUACAUCCGGUGCUCUCCUCUGGUUCAGAAAUUAAGUUAUGGAGUGAAUGUCCCCGCUUUGAAUUGUUAGUCAUAAUUUUUUUUUCAUGCAUUUCAAGUUUAUAGGAGGAUUUUUAAUUUAUGCGUUCCUUAUUUUUCCUUCUUCAUAAUUCGUCAAUUGAAUGUGAGAUCAAAUCAUAUCAGAAUUGAAAUUGGAUCUUGAAUUUUGUGCAAUUAACUACAAAAAGCAGAAGUCGUAUUAUUGCUUGCAAUUACACACUUACUGCCUGAAUGGUAGUGCGACCAACCGAGUGACUGGACAUGCUACCAAACAAUGAACAUAAACUAGAGAUGCAAAGUGUUUGGUUGAAUAGAAAUAAACAAUUUGUUAAUAAGCAUGAAAAGAUAUAUAUCCUUUGUCUUUACUGUCUUCAUUUCUUCUGCUUGAGAGAUAACCAAGGUUUCAAGACUUCCAUUCUGGUGCUUUCUGAACUGAUUAGCACUUGAUGCAUGUUGGGUCUAGCCAUGAGGACGUGUUUGUGGUUCAAGUUCAACAUGAACACUCAAUGCUGAUAUCAUUGCUCUUGUAAAGUAAAAUCUUGCCUUUUUCAGGAAAAUUAUGUGUUAUGACGAGCAGGCUGUUUGAUAAUCUGUCAAUUUUACCUCUAUAAAAUGGAAAUGAAAGAGAAUUGGUGGUGGGGUUGGGGAAUUGUUUUUAAACCCAACUCGGGUUCAUCAAGGGUAAAUCUCGGGUUUCGAAUCGAAUUAGAUGGGUUAACUGAUCCAGCUUUUUUAUUGACAUAAUUUUGAAAAUAUUAAUUUAAAAAUCAACAAGUUUUUCUGUAUCACAAGUUAAUCGGGUUAGGGUUAGGGUUAGGUAGCUGGAACUAGACACCAAGAUAUAGGUUUUAAAAUAGUGGAUUGGGGUGGCUAGUGUGCUGGGGUGGCUAGUGUGCUGUCCUUUCCUUACUUAUGCUCGUGAUUGUGGCUUGCAUUUUGAGAUUCUGUAACUGUUUGUGUCGGCAGGCAGCAGCUUGCAGUCUUGCACGUUGCAAACGUUUGGAAGUGUGUUUCUAAAAAUUUUAAAUUUAUUUUUUAUUUAAAAUAAAAAAAAUUAUAUUUUUAGAUUAUUUUGAUAUUUUAAUAUCAAAAAUUAUUUUAAUAUAUUUUUAAAUAAAAAACAAUUUAAAUUACUACCGUUAUUACAAUACAAAUUCAAAUAAUCUUUGAAUAAUUGAAAAGGAUGGAACAUUUCCAUGCUGUCGUUUAACCAUUCGGAUCAACUUGGAACACGCUGGCUCCUCUGCCCAUUGCAUCAGCAUUAAAUUAAGAGCUGUCUUGUUGCCUGUCCUCUAUUUUAAAAAAAAUAAGACACUAGUUCCAUAAUUUUAUGUUUUUUUUAAUGUUUUUCAUAAUUUUAAUAUACUAAUAUAAAAAAAUCUAAAAAUAUAUUUUCAAAUAAAAAAAUUCAUUUUAAAACACACCCAUCACCACAAUUAAAAACAUGUACAUCGGACCUGGUUUAAAAGGAAAACAUCACAGGCAUCAGAUCUGAACUCAUGUCGGUGCGGUACAAUCAAUCUUUACGUUUUACAACAAUAAUAAAACAAACUGUCUACUUCAGCAGGUCAAUACUUUCAGUAACUCGACGAGGAAUCUAUCUUGAUAGGAUGGCAUAAAAAAGAAUCACAACUUGUUGCCUGUCCUUUUCUACUACGUUGCCUGUUAGCAAUGGGGGCAAAUUUCGAUCUCAAGGGAGAUUAUAGGUUAAACAAUGACUAAAUACAAGGGAAAGAUAAAAAGGUGAAAAGAGAACGUAAAACAGUUAGUCUGACUUGGCUUCAUUUGAAGGUGGAUUGGAUUUUAGGACAGAUGAUGAGCUCGAUCUGAUCUCUGAGUCAACUGCGGCAGUUGCAAAUGGCUUAACAGAUGAACGAAGAGAUUCUGGCCCCUCUGUAGCAAUUCUCUUGCACAACGCAUCACAAUUACUCAUAACCUCAGUCAACCUCCCUUUCAGCUCCCCAAUCUCCACCUGCAGAGAAUGAACUGCAUGUGUUGUCCCAAGUAAAUAAAGUUGAUCAAAGAUGCAGUUAAAAUAAGAAACUGAGAUCAGUACUAGUGGCUUCAUCAAACUGUAGUGAGCCGAAAGGCAAACACUACUGAGAGACAAUCAAUUCUCUGAUAAUUUAUGUAUCUGGUUCCAUAAUCUGUCAGUAAUCCAUUUCCAUUCGGUAUGUUGUGAAGUACCUUCUGAUAGAUGCUGUGAAGAAGUCUUCAUUGCUGACACAGAGUAGUUAAGCCUUUGAAGAAGUUUAAUUGCCAAAGCAUCUGCCACUUCUAUCUUAUUUUCUAUCUCCUCCUGCAAUAGUUUUCACCAAAUCAAAGUUCGUAAAAGAGAUAGAAGUUUUCCAGGUGAAAGCAUACCCCUAAAAGGAUUUGAAACAUCAACGUACUAUGGCUGUUGUUGCACUCUAGUUCAGACAAUCUGGUUAAGAAUCAGUGGUUCCACAUAUUCAUGAGCAAAAAAAGAUUAACAGUUCAAAUGGUUCAUCAGUUAUGUCUUUUUUGACAUAGAACCAUGUUGUUUAAAGUCUUUGAACCUGAUCUAUUAAAGAAUCGGGUCAUCCAGAAUUGAGUGUAUAUGAAGUAAAACCAAAUCAUCUGGUUUCUUUUAACAGCAGAUUGGACAUUUCAUGUUUCUAUCAUAUAUAGUUGGCUACUUUCCACUGAUGCCUCACCAAAACCUAAACAUAAGCAUUGAAGAGCCGCAACCACAACGUAAAAAAUUCAUUUACACGUGGUCCUAGCCUAUAAACAAGUUUUUUACAGAUCCUAUAUGAAAUUUAUCAUCAUCCAUGGACCAUGUCCAUGAGGGAAGUGUACAUCCUAGUAAUAAAAUUCAACCUGGAUCUUAACUUAUGUCAAAAACUGCAUCAGAGAAAAAACUGAAAAUCAACAUAGAAUCCACUGAGAACCUGCGACCACAAGAUCAUAUGAUCCAUCCCACGCCUUUACAAUUUAACUUCAUUUUAUAAACUGGUCUUCUACUCAUAGUAGUUCUUGAUGACAGACAAACCUGUUUCAUGCUUAUCUGCUGAACCUUCCCGUCUUGCCAAUCACGAUAUAUUGAGAUGAGCUCCAAUAACACAUUUGGAUUUACAGUUGCUGCAUUGACCAUUAUAAACAACACCCAUGCAAAUACCAAAUGAAAAGAUUAGCGCUUCUCAAAUAAAUUUAAAAGGGAUGGGAAAGACACAACAAAUAACAUCCAUUAUAAACAACACCCAUGCAAAUACCAAAUGAAAAGAUUAGCCUUUCUCAAACAAAUUUAAAAGGGAUGGGAAAGACACAACAAAUAACAUUGCAAAAUUACAUCUCUGAACAAUAUACAUCACAUUAAAAACCACAUCAAACAGCUACCAUUCAGCCUCGCAUCGCGUUAAUUUCAUUCUAAACAAAACGUUUAGGAGAGAAAAAAAGCACCAAACCUGCGAUUCUUUUCUUUUCUCUAUCUGGACCAUGGAUAAUGAAACGAACCCUCGAAUGUUUGAAGUUAAGAACAUUCACACACAUUCGAAAGCUAGUUACUUUUCUGUUUCAUCAGUAGAUAUCUUUGUUCAAAUCAUUCUUCACUCACUGAGUAAAGAGAGCGGAUUAAUUUACGUUUAUAUAACAUUCUAACUUCUAUUCAAAGCUUCAAUGCAGAAAGUCUACUGCAAGAAGGAAAUAGAGAGAUAAAGCAAGUCCGAGACUCACCAAGAGCUGAAGAAGACGAUGCCUUCCUCACCAAAAUGUCAUUCAAGCUACCCUCUUCCUUCGGAGUUGAAGUUAAUAUUGGCCUUGUCUGAAGUAAAAAUAAUAAUAAUAAUAAUUUUUUUGAACAAAAAGAUAGUGUAUGUCUCCAAAUUGGGAUUAUUUAAACAAAUAAUAAAAAGCUUACAAUUUUGAGGGAUUUGAGCUUCUCCAAAAUGGGAUCCAAAGCUUCUGAUCUCUCAGUGACAGUAGUGAUUUCGUCUGUCAUUUUCUUUACACCAUACAACAAGCAAAUUAUUCAACAGUGACAAAUUUAUUGUAAACGAUUACUGAAAUUAGAAGAAUUACCUGUGAACUUGAAAGACUAGAUUCUGAGGCACCCAUGUUACUUUACUUCUUCAAUUCUUUUCUUCAGAAGAACGUUUGCGCGUGUAUUUCAAUCGCCACCGAGCACUAAUGGUUCGACACCGCCGGGGAAUCGCAGAAGGGGCCGGUACUCGUCAGUCUGGGACUACUGGUUGUCGUUGUGGGUUAAAAUGACGGAUUUUAGUUUAGUAGCAUUUCGAUCUCUCAGGUACGAUAAGUUUUUCAUAUUAAGGUUGUUUAGAUAUUAAAAUAUCAUAAAGGGUUAAUUUAGAGUUUAUUUGUUACUGUAGUAGUAAUUGUUUUUUUAAUUAUUUUUUAUUUUAAAAUAUAUUAAAAUAAUAUAUUUUUUAUUUUUUAAAAAUUAUUUGUGAUAUUAAUAUAUUAAAAUAAUUAAAAAAUAUUAAAAAAUAUAUUAAUUAGAAGUGAAGAAAAAAAUAAAAAAAAUAAAAUUUUUUUAUAAAACGCUUCUAAAUAUAAUGCCAAAGACAUCUUUAAUGAUUAAGGUAUGUGUUUUUAUCAAUUAUUAUAAUUUUAAUCUCAAGUGAAAUUAUGAAAAAUAAAAUUAGUAUAAAAUUUUUAAGUCCUACCUGGAUUUAAUAAAUAAAUGGAUUUACAGUGCACGAAAAUUAAUUUAUAUAUACCCCCAACACCUAAAUAAAAAUAAUAUCAAGCAUCAAUAUUACUUUCAUACUUGGAAUCAUUACCUAGCUUGACUAACGGUUUUGUUUUUUUAAUUUAGCCUCAGUUUUUUCCACUUCCUCCUUAUUUGUUUUUUAAUUUCAUUCUUAUAUUUAUUUUAAUAAUUAUACAUGUUAUCUUUAGACAAAUUAAGUUAAGUGAAUUAUAUUAAUAUUAAGACAAUUUUUAUAUUAUUUAAUUUUAAACUUAGCUAAGUAAGGAGUCGGAGCAGAGGGAUUUUUUUUAUCAAUUUCAUUUUUAUUUUCUUAAUUUUACUUGGAAAUGUUUUUUACUAGUCGGUUAGAUUAUUUUUAAAUCGGUCAAGUCGACUGAGUCAUGUUACGACAACUUUCAUAAGAUUUAAUUUUAAACUUGUCCUAAACAAUAAGUUGAGUCAAGAUUUUUUUAUAUCAAUUUCAUUAUUUUUUUCUCAAUUUUAUCCUUACAUGUUUUUUACCGAUCAUUCAGUAUGUUUUUAAACUAAUCAAGUCGAUUAAGUCACGUUGAUGUAACUCCAACACUGUUUAAUUUAAAACCUAAUCUAAACAAGGAGUCGGAUUAUAAAAUUUUAAAGUUGACUCGUUAGACCAAGUUUAAUAAAAAUACCAUAUAUCUUUUUACAACUUGAAUAUUUUUUUGUUGUAUUUAAAAAGAUUUUAAUCUAAUCCAUAGCAAAUCACGAGCUAAGCUAGUAUAUAUACAUAUGGGAAUGGGUAUGUAACUAUGUAAGUAUACGCAUGUGCAUGGAAAUUUUUUUCAUUUCACUCUAUAACAUUAAAUUUUGAAUGACAAACACAAUUAUUAACUAGACGAUAAUUAGCUUUCUAACCCGCACUAUGUUGUAGUUCAAUUUUUUUUCUAAUCGUAAAAAAUAUAAAGAUGCUAGGAAAGCUAAAAUCCGACACAUAUUAGACAAUAUACUUUUAAAAUAUCGAGAUAAUGGCAUAUUAGAUAACAUAUUUUUUUUAUAAAUAAAACGAUGAUAUACUGGACCGAUUUACAACUCGAUUUACGAGGCUAUGAUAAUUUCAUAGAAUAUAAAUUGAACCAAAUUAGGAAACUGAAUCUUAAUCAAUCAAAUAUUGAAGGACAAAAACUAAAAAAAUAUUCAAUUUGAAGAAAAAAAAAGAUCCAAAAAAACAACUCGAGUAAACUUAAGGAAAACGGUCAAAUUCACAACCUAAGUCAUGAAAACAAAAUCUCUCUAUUGAGAACAAAUAAAAAAAAUACAAAGACCAAUUACUAACCAGCCCAUUAUUCAAAUACAAAAAUUAAAAAAAAUCAAUUUUUAAAAACACAACAAAAAAAAUUCAAGCUAACCUAAGUUAAUUCGCUAAAUCCACAACUUGGAUCAUUAAAUUAUGAUAACUUCAUUCAAAACAACUAGGAUUUUUUAAAAAAACAGUUAAGAAAAAAUUUCUUUUAUCCCGCCAUAAUAUUUUAAAAAAUUAUUAAUGUAUAUUUAAAAAAAAAUUAUUUGGCUUUGAUUUCAUUAAAAUGAAGUUAAAAAAAAAAUGAAGGAAAACCCUUAAAAAAGUAACCAAGAGUGCAGGCCUAGUGAACCAUUUCUUGGGCCUAAUGCAAGGACAUACACAUUUGGGCUUGAAGGGCAUACACUCCCGAGCUUGCAAGGAUACAUCCACACACCUCCUAUUUAAAUCUUCUCAUCCGCCCAACUAAUAUUUUUUAUAUAUACAAACGACAUAAAUGACUCAUUGUCUAUGAGUGUGUUUGGUAUUGCGGUAACUAUUGUGGUUGUGGUUUGAAAAAAGUUGUUUUAUAAAAAGUACUUUUAGUUGUGGUUCGUUAGAAAAAAUAGGUGUUUGGUUAAAACUGUGGUUGAAAUUGAGGUUGAAGAAAAAGUAGUUUAAUGUGUUUGGUUAAGAAUGUUUUUGAAAUUGAGGUUAUAAAAUAAUUUAAAAAAUAUAUAUAUUAAUAUUGAUGGUUUUUAAUUUAAAUAUUGUGGAUUUAACUAUUGCGGUAACAUCAUGAAAUAAAUCAUACUUUAUAUAAAAUUUUUUUAUUAUUCUAUUAAACUAUCUACAAUUCCAUUACGUACAAAAUUCAUCCGACAAGAACUACAGUUUUCAUAAUUUUUUAGCGUGUAAUAAAAUUAGAUAAAAUAUUAUCAUGUAUAAAAUUCACUCCAAACUAGUUUUUUUAAAAAAAAAAUGUUAAAAAAAUUAACAAAAACAAAACUUAACACACUAAAUAAUAAUAAUAAAAAAAGAAGUGUCCACGCAGUGCAAGUGAACAGUGCAAGAGAAUUGCAUUGUUCACUAUUUUUAAGUGAACAGUGCAAUCUCUUGCACUGUUCACAUGAACAGUGCAUCACUUGCACUGUUCAUGUUAAUUUCACUGUUCAUUGAACAAUGCAAUUAACGUGAACAGUGAAAAAAAGUAAGAAAUGAUUGCUUUUCCUUUCCUGCGUUGCUAACGCAGAAAUUCAAUGGGGGCUAGUGAACAGUAAAUCAAUUUUUUCCUUAACCAAACAGCUGCGAACUGCGUUUUAAAUAAAACGCAGCCGCAGCCGCAGAGCCAAACGGGUUCUAUAUCUCCAGGGUCGCUGGAAAAUCAAGGUUAGAGCUUUUCGACCUUGAAAUUUUAUUUUCAUUAUUUUUUUGACCUCAAAACACAUACAAAACAACUUAGAUACGCAUAUAAACCCCUCAGUACCUUGAAACAAAGCAAAAUAUUUGUUCGAAAACAAAAGUUUAAGUCAAAACCCAAAAUAUCCAAGGGAUUUGAUCAACGCUAAAAGAUUCCAACAUAUGCUCUUAAUUUGAGGGUAAUUUUUUUUAAAAGAAUUUUAUCAAAAUUUCAGCAGAGUUUCAUUUGUAUUUAAGACAUCCCAAGUUAUUGACUACUAUCAAUUUACUCACUUAACUCAUCAUCAUAAGGUCCUAUGAUUCCGGACCUUAUUUCACUCAUCAAUAUUCAACACCUCAUACAAUCCAUGCAACACACACACACGCAUGCACAUUUGGUAUCAGAGCCGAGAACGGCUCGUCUUAAAGGUGGGGGGGAUUGUGAUGUCUUACAUUGGAUGCGAGCGUCUAGAGUCAUGGCUUUAUGAGUAGUGCUGGUCGUUGACCUGUUGUAUGUAUUUUGAGGCGUCAGACUCAAAAGUGGACUCACAUUACUAGGAACAAAACCGUGAGAACGAAAAGCCUAAAGUGGAUAAUAUAUGACAGGUUGGGUCGAACUAUUAUAUCAUAUUUAUUUUUUCCAAGAAAUUUCAAGGUGAAAUAACACCUAAAUUAAAUUUCUUUCGUCGAAUAGAACAUGUGAACACCAAUAUCAACUUCUUUAUGGUCAUAGUCGAUAACAAUAUGAAUUUUCUCUUUUUAUUAUCGGAACCAGCCAACCUUUCUCUCUUUUUUAUUUAUUAGGGAUUAAAAAAUAAAAAUAAAAAUGAAGCUUUCACCAAAGUUAAAUCUCAAUAAUUUCAGGGACUUAAAAAGACAUCACUGAAAAAGUAUAAGAAUUAAAAUGAAUUUUUUUACCCACACUAUAAAACUUCCAUCCAUUUCAACUGUAAUUUUCACUUUAAUUAUCUGUCUUAUAAUAUUGAUGUAUAAUGCACAAAUGUUAGCAUUUAGCAUAUUGCAAGGAUUAAAACAGCACAGACCCACCACAAAUCCAGACCAUUAUUCUUCAUUUUUAUCUUUGUCAUGACUAAAAUAGUGUUUGAUAUUAUAGUAAUGGUUAUUUUUUAAAAUAUUUUUAUUUAAAAAUAUAUUAAAAUAAUAUAUAUUUUAAUAUUAACAUAUUAAAAUGAUUUAAAAUAAAAAAUUAAUUAAAAUAAUAUUUUUUUUAAAAAAACCUUUCUGAGCAAUAAAAACAAAGACACAAAACUUAAAAGUCAACCCGCUGUAGAAAAAAAAAAUUACUAUAACCUAACUUAAUUUUAAAUAUACCGCUGCCAAAUUGAACGUCAUGGCCGGGCCGGGUUUUGUAAGUGAUCUAUCUACCUGUCUAAUAUAAUUCCUCAAGCCCCUAGUUUUUAUUCUUAAGAAAAUUGUAAAAUCAAUCAAAUGAAGAAAAUUAACCAAUCUUAAUAUUCAUAAAUUCCAAGCCGAUAUUCUCUCCCUCUCACAGGGGGUGUCAACAUGAAAACUACAAAACCAGCCGCAAUUAAAAAGACGCCGGUGGGAAGGAAACCUGCCGCUGUCAAAGCCGCUCCUGAUUCUGCCACCGAGGAAUCACCGGUUCCAAAAACCCCACCCAACGCCAAGCGGACACAAAAUAGCGACAUGACACCGUCGCCAAUUGCCGGUUCUGCUUCAAAACUUGAACAAUCAUCAGGUAACAAUAACUAUUCCAUUCUUUCAUGCAAAUAAAUAAUUAAUUGUAGUGUUAUUUUUAUGCAACUAGCUUAAUAUUCUUAAUUAGGUAUUUUUGAAGUUUCUUGUCAUGUGAUGUGAUUUUUAGGUUUUAUUGAGGUUUGCUAUUUUCUUUAAUAUUAGUUGAUGGAACAAAUAUAGAAACGGAUGUGAGUAUGGUAACACUGGAAACUACAAAACCUCUUCCGAUUAAAAAGAAGGUUGUGAGGAGAGUGGUGAAGGUAGUGAAGAAAACCCCUGCUAAUGCAAAAGCUCUUUUGGAGCAAACCCCGACAACUGUGGUUGCUGCGAAGUCUAAGGUUGAAGAAAGGGAAAAGGAGGCGGAACUUGCUGCUGAUAAUGUUGGAGAAUCUAUAAAGAAGAAAGGAGUUGCAAUGGGAGUGGAAGAAUCUAAGGUUGAAAGUGUUGCUGUUUCUGUAAAGGAGGAGGAAAGUGUGGAAGAACCUGUGGUCGAUUCUAGGAAGGAGGUUGAAGCGGUUAAUGAUAGGGUUGGGGAGUCUGUUAAAAGGGAACGAACUGUGGUGGAUAUUCCUGCUGAUGAGGUUGUGGAAGUAUCUAAGAAUGAAGAACCUAACAGAGUGGGAAAGGGGGUUAAUGAGGGUGAGAAGAAAGACGUGGACGAUGAAGUGGAGGCCAGAAAUGAGGCUGUCAUGAUGGAAGGAAGUAUGGAGGAACACGUUCGAAGAGAAGAGACUCAACAUGAGCAAGAUGAGUAUGGUGGUGAUGACGGGUAUGAGGAGUAUGGAGAUAGAGUGGACUUUGAAGAUCCUGUUGAGGAUGACUUUGAAGAUCCAGAUGAGCCUGUUGAAGAAGCUGCUGCAAUGGAAGAGGAACGCAGGGAACUAACAGCUGUUGCAAAGGAGCGUAAGAUUAAGAAAGAAUAUGAGAUAUUUGUUGGUGGAUUGGAUAGGGAUGCUACAGAGGAGGAUUUGAGAAAGGUUUUUGAGAAGAUUGGUGAAGUAGUUGAAGUUCGAUUGCACAAAAAUCUUUCAACAAAUAGGAAUAAGGGAUAUGCAUUUGUGAAAUUUGCAAACAAGGGGCAUGUUAAACGCGCUUUGUCUGAAAUGAAAAACCCUGUGGUAUGUAUCACCCCAUAGUUUUGGCUUAUAUUUUAUGAGUAUCAUAUUAACUCCUCAACUGUUCACAGAUUCGUGGAAAGCGAUGUGGGACAGCACCAAGCGAGGACAAUGAUACAUUGUUCUUGGGCAAUAUAUGCAACACAUGGACAAAGGAAGCUGUGAGCAUCUAAUAAUUAAUUGUAAUUCCCGCUUGUUUUUAGAUUUUUUCAAUGAUUUAUAAUAUAAUGUGGGUUGGCAGAUAAGACAAAAGUUGAAGGAUUAUGGCGUUGAAGGUGUUGAGAACAUCACUGUUGUACCCGAUGCUCAACAUGAAGGGAGAAGUCGUGGUUUUGCAUUUCUUGAGUUUGCUUGUCAUACUGAUGCAAUGCUUGCUUACAAGCGGCUUCAGAAGCCUGAUGUUGUAUUUGGUCAUCCAGAGAGAACUGCCAAAGUGGCAUUUUCUGAACCUAUACGUGAGCCUGACCCUGAAAUUAUGGCUCAGGUGAAGACUAUAUUUCUUGAUGGCCUUCCUCCUCACUGGGAUGAAGAUCAUGUUAGGGAGUGCGUGAAAGGUUAUGGGGAGAUUGUACGAAUUGUCCUGGCACGGAAUAUGUCAACCGCCAAGAGAAAGGAUUUUGGAUUCGUCGACUUCUCUACGCAUGAAGCUGCGGUUGCUUGUAUUGAAGGAAUAAAUAAUAGAGAAUUUGGCAAUGGUAACACAAAGGUAAUAAAUGUUCCUUUCAUACUUCAUCUGCUUCUAUGUAUGUUACUUUGCAGCUGUUUCUUUUCCUUUUUUUUUGUGUUUGUAGCAAAAUUACUUUAUCUAGAAAGCUAUUUCUAGGUUUCAUUAAAUUAUUUUGGCAUUUUCCUACUUGAAACAAAAAUAAGGAUUGAGGUGUGGAGGAAAUGUGUUUAAAGUAACCUACAUCUUCUUCUUUUCAAUUUGCUACUUUCAUCAGUUUUAGUUUUAUUUUCAUAUCCUUUCCUGGUAGACUUUGAUCAUUCCAGAUUAAUGCCUGUGAAAUGCAUGCAUUUAGUUGCAUGGUGUACAAUAAAGUUUUACCCUUUUUGUAUCUAAUAUGGUAAGAGAUGAUGUAUGAACUGACAUCAUGAUGUUGUCAUGUGCUGGCAGAUGAGAGUUAAAGCGAGGCUGUCAAAUCCAUUGCCAAAAACUCAGGCUGUGAAGGGUGGAAUGUGUGGUGGCUUUCGAAUUGGUCAUUCUGGAAGUGGAAAUUAUUUAAGAUUUGGUAACCUUUGAUCCUGAGGAUUUGAAUAUUUCUUAAAAUGCAUUUGUCUCCAUUUGAUUUAGGCAACUAUGUUACAGGAAGGGGUUUUGGGCGGGGCGGGCAUCAUUCAAACUGGGCGAAUUUUCAACGUGGUAGGGGUUUCUAUCAACGAGAACAUGGUCAAACUAGUAGAAUGGGUCCCCGUGAGUAUGACUAUAAUGAUCGAUAUGACAUGCUUCCUGGGAGGCAAGGUAUUCAGUGGCCUCUUUCUUUUUGAGUGAGCGCACAUACACACAAGCACACCUUCCUUUCCAAUAGAUGCAGAUCUUUCACGCAGCCACAAUUAAAAAUCUAACUCACAUUAAUGUAUUGAGUAGGAGGAAGAAGGGGUUCUUUCAGAGGAGGUUAUCAAACAGCUAGUAGAGGUAUGGCUGCUGGGCCAUCAAGAUCUAAUAUCAAUCGAGCUUGGCACGAGACCCCUGAGCGAGGACAUAGGGGCUAUGUUUCUUCAAGGAGGCAACCAUUUUCUCCUGAAGAAUCCUUUGACAGACGUUUCAAUGGAAGGCACUUUGAUGACCCCUAUUUUUAUGAUGAUGGUUCACAUGGGAUGAAACGAUCAUUUUAUAUGACUGUAAGGAUUUCUUUUUGUGGCCUAAAAGUUGGAAUUUGGUUGUUUGUUCUUUUAAUUUUUAAGCUUCUGUUGUUGUUUGUGCAUCCUUUAUAUUCUUUAGAGUUUGAAGUUUUCCCAUGCUUUUAGGACCAAGAUCCUGAUUACAUGGAACCCAGUAGGCUUCGACCCCGGUUAGAUUUCGCUGAUCCCCGAGUAGAUUAUGCUGAUCCGGCAGCUUCAUUUCGUGGGACACAUUAUCGUGGUAUGGAUUAUGCUGUCCCCAGAUAUUUUCAUUUUGUGACAUGGUUAUUUUAUUUGCUUUAUUGUUUUUGAUAUUAUCAUCCUCAUGGCUUUAUGUUUCAGAUACCUAUGGAGCAGGCAGUGAUCCCUACUUUCAUGAAUAUCGUGGUUCUGAUGUGAGCAAUUAAUCCGUAGCUUAUCCUGAGUCAAAUUUUAAUUACUAACAGUUUCAUUGUAUUCCUUUUCUGUUUGUGUUGCAGUACGAUCCAUAUCCACCUUAUUAUGGGAGGGACCACUCAUAUGGAGGUGGUUACCACUAUUAGGCACAAGCAAAUCUGGUAAUUCCAAUUGCCUUGUGAUUUUAAAUACUAUAUUGGAUGUGAUUCUUGAAGUUAAAGGUUUUAACUUCAAUUGUGUCUAGGUGGGCUUGGAAAAGCAGGAUGCUAAUCAUUGGUGAUAGGCAAAUGGCUUGCUGUUCUGAAACUAGUUGAAGCUGCCUUUCAUUUAUCUUUUUGAUGUCUUGUAUUUUUCCUCGUGAUUCCCUUACUCCAAUAUUCUCUCCCUAUGAAAUUUUGGGUGCAGUGUCCAGAGAGUUUGUGUCUAGUUUAGGGUAUGUCUUCAAAGGACAUAGAUUAAGCAAGUGAAUUCUCUCUAUAUUUUGGAGAUUGGAAUAGGCAUUUUCCCCUUUGAUCUAGGUAUGAACUACUUGAGGACUUACAUCAUGGAUUGCAUUAUGGAUUAUUCUAAAGUAAAGUUUUUGGUUAUGUGUUUAUGUUCCUGAAUCAUGGAUUGAAUAUUGAUGUUGAUGGAAGCCAAAACAUAACAGAUUGGUGACAAUGGUUUAAGGAAGUGCAAAGAUUCAAGUCAAAGUUUUUCUUAUAGUCAUGGAGGUGAAGUUAAUACUGAGCAUACUGGUUCUGGCUUUGUGGAGAUUCCUUGAAAAUUUUGCAAGAGAAACGGAAGGUUUAGACCUUCUAUGCCCGAAGAAUGGGAAUUAUAAAUCCGAAACGCACCAUCUUGUGCGAGUUUAUUUUGAAUUGGAUGGAUUUUCACUCUAUUAAAAUUAAUGGUUACUUUAGUAUGCAUAUGACUGGACCACCUGGAUAUGUUUUGGCUGGUCAUUCAAAAUUUAUGCACCUAUUGCUAAAGCACAACUGUUGGGAAUUGCAUUUUAUUUGAUGGUGCAUUGCCCCCAGAUGAAAUUGAGAUUUUGAACACCUUUCAUUUAUUUCUCAUGAGGAGAACUAGCAAUUGGCUUGGUCCAUAACAUAUUUUGAUUCUUCAGUAGCAUUAGUUUUUAUGUACUUUGAGAGUGAUCUUUAUGGCAUCAUUACAUAACAGAAUCAUUUGGCUUGGGCUGAGAUUGAAACUGACAGAUUUUGUGGUGAGAGUGAGAUGGAUCUGUCUUUCUAGGUGAAUUGAUUCUUAGGUAAAAAUUGUCUCUUAUUCUGAUUUUUACUUUGUACUAGCAUUGGAUUGAUGGAGAAAUGACAUUGGUGUGCCUGCAAGGAAAAUAUAUGUAUGCCCUUUAAACUUCAGUAGUUGAAUUGCUUUUCAAAGCUUUCAAGCAUUUUUCGAUGGUGGUAAUGGCCUACAGUUCACUGUAUCAUAAGGAUACAUGGCAUAGAAUCCUAAAAAUUGUGGUUAUAAAGGUAAAAGGUUCUCAUAUAGUACUCAAUCACAUUUUAGCCUAUGCUACAGUUGAUUUAUAUCCCUGAUAAUCCGAAUAGUUGUCGUUUGUUUAUGCUCCUCCAUGUACUUGGAAGGUGGUAGAUGUCAAUUGCAACAUGGUGUCCUCGUAUCUCCUGUUGGGGCAUUGUGAUAGUGAUGAGGUUGAUUGCACAUGUUGAGAGUAUACUACCUUUUAGCUACUUUUUCAUCAAAUUGCAGGACAUAAUAUUUUGAAUCAUACAGAUCGCCUAGAUUUCAGUGGGGUUGUGGGGUUGAUUUAGGUUUGUUAUCAAUUGAUUUGCUGCAGAGAACCAUGUUAUAAUUUGUGUUUACCUUGGAAUUUCCUUUACUUGAAACAAAAAUAUUAAGUAUUUCCUCAAUGAUAUUUUCCUUUUUUGCCUCAAAUUGUUCUUCUCGGGGGAUCUGUAAAUCAUUCUUUUGUAUGAUAAAUAAAUACUUGAUGGUCGCAUGGUGGUUAGGAUUUUGGAUUUCUAUGCAAGAAGAUAAGGUGCUCCAUGCUAUAAAAUGAAUCCAUUUUUAGAAACUCUACCUGCAGUAGACACAGUGGUUCUACCAAACAAUGGCAGUAGCUUUUUAUUUUAGUUGUGUAGGUAUGUUAAUGACUGGUUAAAUUUUGCAUAUUUAUUUCUUCUUCUCGGUGCAUGGUGUUUUCUUGUUGGUCAACAAUACUUCUAGUCGAUACUAGUCGAUACAUUGCAAGCAAUCAUAAUGAGGGGGACUUGUAGCUCAUAAAGAUGAAUGCAGUUAGGGCCUAAUUAAUCUGUUGAACCAUGAGUGACAAAAUCAGGUUUCUAUACAUGAGAUUUAAGGUGUUUGUCAAAUGUAGUGAUAAGCAUCCACCAUAUUAGUGGUAGGAAUCUCUUAUCUAGUAUGUGUAUUUUUGAAUAAUUCGUUAGAUCUGUAGUGUACCUUGGAGAUUGUUUUGUCAUUGUGAUACGGCUUUUAAAUCUGCAUUGUACCUUGGAGAUUGUUUUGACCUCAUGACAGUUUAUAAUCUUUAAUUGAUUCUGGCAUGCUGUUCUAGGAGCAGUAAAUGUUUUCUUGUUAAUAAUAAUCUACAAACGCUUUGUUUAGGGACCAGGGAGCAUUUUAGAAUACUGCUUAGGUGCUUUCCAAAGUGGUUUUUGGGUACUAGGGUGUCGGAGUUUUGUUGCUGAAUUUAUGUAUCCUCACGGUUGUGUGCCUUUUUGUUUGUCCCAGCUCCUCCUUUCUCUUCCCUCGUAUUUCCUGAGUUCUCUCCUUCCAUUUCUAGAUAAUCAAUUUUUUUUUCUCAUUUAUGUAUAUUUGAGUUGAGGAUCUUGGUUUUAUCACUGCAGUGAACAUUAAUUUGAGCGAAACUACUGAUACAUCCUUAAUAUGUUUUUCUAUUAUCUGUUUCUCAUAAUGUAUCUUCAAACUGGAUGCUUUGUAUCGCUUCCAGUCACUGUUGCAUCAUUGUGCUCCGAAAAGGUGAGAGACUGGGUUCCCCCCCAGCUUCAAGAGCUGGCGUGUGCCCCAGGUAAAUGGAGUUUUUGCAACGUUUCAAGUGUUGGCCAUGUGCCCCAGGUCAGAGGAUGUGUUUCCCUCAUCUUAGCUGGGAAAUUUGUGGGUUCUUUUUGGUUCCUGGGUUAUUGUAAUACACAGGGUUUUGUCAUUCUGGUUUACAUGUGAACGACCGAACAAGACUCUUGAUCUGUUUGAAUCACCAUGGAUUGAUGCUGUUUCGAUCAACUAUCUAAACAGUACCAUCUUAGUUUGGGUUAUGAAAUUUUGUGAUUUGAUGUGUGAUCUGUUAUUAAUUGGUAUAAUCCUAACUUGUUUUGGUCAUAUGAUGCAGAGCCUGUGUUCUUUCGAGCUAUGGCCAGCGUUGUGGUCAAAAGUUUAGAGAUACUAAUUGUUUGUCUGCUCCUAUCAAUGACUUGAAAAUCACCACAUUACCACCCCGGCCUUUUUCUAUCCGUUGUAACACUGAAUUUAAUUCAAGAUAGCAUAACAGUUAUUGAUUUGGAUCUCUAAUCCUCUCGCCUCUAUUAGCCGAAAUCCCCCAUUUAUAGGCGAGUCUCACUUGCAUGCCAGACCUCAAAGCAUGGAGAAGGAUGGGGUUUCAGAAUUGAAGCUCACCCCCUUGUCCUAGAAAGAUGAGGUUUCUGAUUAAUCUGUAAAAAUUCUUAUAUUAUUAAAUGAUGGGUGGUGUUAAUUUGACCUUUAUAUUGAACAAAAUAGUUUUCCUUUUAAUUUUCAUCUUAGUUAAGGAAUUCGAGGCUGGUCUUUAUCCCUGUCGAAAAAAGGAAAUUUAAAUAUGGUCACCCACCAUCUCUACAAGAAUAUGUGCUUGUUGCUUGAAAUGGCCAGCAUGGGAAGGCGACGGCGCAGUGAGCGGAGUAAUAUUGUUUUGUUUUUAUGGAAGUUUUGUAAUCAGUUAUCUUUAAUUUCUGUAAUUAAAUCAGUGAUCUUUUCUUUUUCUGAUAAUUAAUUGGUCUUUUCCUUCUUUCUUUUUCUUUUUACUACGGUGAUACAAGUUGAAUUUAUUUUUUGGUGAGAAGGACGGUGAUGGAGGUUGGUUCUUGAAUUCAAAUGUUUCCUUAGGGUUUGCUAGAAUAUUAAUGUUAGAUACAAUAUUAUUUUAAUAUUUAUUUUUUUAAGAUAAUGUUGUAUUUAAUUUUUUUUAAUUAAAUUAUAUAUUUUUUUGCUGUUUAGAUUUUAUUUUUGAAUUUACUGAGUUGAUUAGGCCUAUCAAAUCAAUUUCUAUACCGUUUUAAUUUAUUUUUUUAUUAUGAAAAUCAUUUUAGUAAUAGCUUGAUAUUUUUUAAAAAAGUGAUCAGGCCCGCAGUAUAAUAUUAAUAACCAUCUACAUGGUCUAUUAAGCCUACAUGGUCUACUUAAUAGGAUCUCAUGUCUUAAUUAUGAACCAAAAGAAAGAAAGAAAUAUUGCUGUUUCUUCAAAAGCUUAAAAUCAAUCACCAAAAUGCCAACCAUUUUACUCGAUCCAAACAGCACUGUGAUCAGCACUUUCCAGGCUUCAAUCUCAUAAAAUUUUCACAGAAAGAAACCUAAGGAGGCAGGAGAAUUUUGAUCCCAAAUCUAACCGAAAAACACACCAUUUUUUAAUCAUCCCUGUAAAGAAAACCAAAAACCAAGUGCCCUCAUUGUUCCUAUCCACAACAAUCCAAAUCCUCCUACCAUUUUACUCCCUAAUAAAAAGGAAUAUAAACAGCCAUUAGAUCCCUCUCCACGUGUACGUUCUAGAUCUCUACUUAUCCACGUCACCAAUCUCCUAGACUCCAAAUGGACUAAUCAAAACCCAGUCUCUUUUCUUGUCCCCUUCCUAUAAAUGUCUUUCAAAGAUGACAGAGGAAAAUCAUAUCAGCAACUACUAUAUUUACCUCUCUUCAAUCCUUUUGUUGUGUGUUUUCUACUCUGCCUGAUCACCAUGACAGCCACCGAAGAAGCUGAAACUGAGGCUCCAGUCGUGGAGCAACCAACUGCUACGGAGGAGCCUAAGGUGGAGGAGAAUCCCGUUAAAGGAAAGAGGCCAAGGACUCCCAGGGAAAAGAAGCCUAGACAACCUAAACCAAAACCUGCCGCUCAUCCUCCUUAUUUUCAGGUAUUUCAAUGAUUCUUCAUGUUCCUGGUUUUUAUUACAAGCAUGCGCUAACCAAAAACCUGCUGCUCAUCCUCCUUAUUUUUAGGUAUUUCUAUGUUUCUUCGUGUUCCUGGUUUUUGUUUCUUACACUCAUGCGCUGUUACUUGUAUUUGUAUUGAUGUUUAAUUUAAGCUGGGAUUAUUAUUGCAGAUGAUUAAGGAGGCUAUAUUGGCUUUGAAUGAUGAGAGUGGGUCGAGUCCAUAUGCCAUAGCAAAGUACAUGGAAGAGAAGCACAAAGCAGUACUCCCAGCAAAUUUUAAGAAAAUUUUAGGUCUUCAACUGAAAAACUCUGCAACAGGAGGAAAGUUAAUCAAGAUCAGGGCAUCUUACAAGCUUCCAGAGGCGAAAAAGACUAAAGAGGUUAAACCUACUACAAGAAAGACUAGGUCUGUGAAUAAAGCCGAGGCUUCUGCAAAGAAAGUUGCUGGGGCUAAGAAGGCCAAGAAAUCAGCAGCUGCUAAACCUAAACAGCCAAAGUCUAUCAAGUCUCCUGCUGCCAAAAGGGCCAAGAAAUAGAGACUUGGUCCUGGCAGUAGUUAUUAAGGCCAAGAAAUCAGCAGCUGCUAAACCUAAACAGCCAAAGUCUAUCAAGUCUCCUGCUGCCAAAAGGGCCAAGAAAUAGAGACUUAGUCCUGGCAGUAGUUAGUUUCUGAUGUAUGAUGCUGGGUCGAUGUGAAUAUGUGAUGUACUAUGCCGUCUAGUUUAUGUCGGUGGAGUGUUUUCUGCCACUUUUUGGACAUGAGUGUUCUUCUCUUUUGUAUAUAAUCUUGUAAGUUCAGAGGUUAAUGGAACUCAGCCGUGUUCUUUCAUCUUUUCCGAAUCAUUUGUGACUGUGGUUCUGAUUUUUCCCUAGCAAUCUCGAUUUCCUUUUGUUUUGCAAAAUCUAAUUGAUGCACAGUUGGGCAGCCGAGAAUUAGAGACGGUUCGGGAUGUUGACGAGUGACUUGGAUUUUGCGCUGGCGAGGUGUGCGGGACGCCAUGGGAGGAGGCUCCUCCAUGUUAGUGGCCUUUUCAUCUCGGUGCUUGAUUGUGCCUCGAAUUCUUUAUAUAAACAAAAUAUUAAAUACGAGUGGACGCCAGAUAGAUCUUUGAUGCAGGAGAUUUUUGACUCGGUAGUUCAUGGCAAGGAGCAUAAAUUUGUGACUCAUAGUUUGUAUUUCUUGUUUUAAAAAUAUGUUUAUGUAUUUAUUUUUUAUGUCCGCAAACUCUAAACUAAGCAGACUAACCUUGAUAGUCGGCUAAAUUUGUUAGCUCUCUUUUGGGCACCCUUGUCUAGGUUCUAUAAAAACGGAAAUUGCAACUAGUGACCCUAUAAAAAGGAAAUUGCAACUAGUGACCCAUGUAGCGAAGCCUGCGUUCACAGUGACGUUGGAUUUUAUUUUUAUAUUUAUAUUCUAUUUAUUAUCAAUAAUAAACAAAAAUUAGAUACUUAUAAAUUAUUUAUUAGGAUGUAGGUAUCCGAUGAAUAUGUAUUAUUCACUAUUAUUUAUCAAUGAAAAAUAAAAUAAUAUAUAUAUAUAUAUUAAAUAAUAAAUAUUAUCAUAUAUUAUUUAUAUCAAUUUUAAAGAAUAUAUAUAUUUUGUAUUAAAAAAAUUAAAUAUUCUAUAAAUAUAUUUAUAUAAUAUAAAUAUAUAUUUUGAGUUAGAUUCCUGCUAGUUUCGGUUGCUAUCCCUAUGAUUCCAAAUUUGGAGUAUAUUCUCCAACAGAUUCCAAAUUUGUUUAACGUUCAAGGACGCUUAUAAUUUGUUUGAUGGAUAUAUCUAAAUCAUCCAUUCCAAAUCUACCCUCGUCUAUCUAUAAGCUAAAGCAAUGCCGUAGCCAAGGUUUACAAAAAGAAAAUGUCACGUAAUUUAUUAAACCUAUCAAAAUCCACCUAUGAUUUGGUUUAGCUAGUCAGUAGACUUACUUAUUCUAUUUUAAUUUUUUGUAAAAGGAUUCAAAGACAAGUUACGAGAGGAUAAUCUUUUUGUGCAUACAUAAAUUUUUAAUCAUCUAUUUAAAAUUUAAUAAAAGAAUUUAAAAAGCCAAAUUUUGAAUUUUUUUUUAAAAAAUAAAAUUAACAUAUUUUAAUCAAGUUUUUACUGGAUCGACUAGAUUACAUGUUAAUUUAAAUUUUUAACCGGGCUCUCAUUAUUUAUUGUGAAAUCCAAUCUGAAUUUGAUUCGAAACGACUUAUCAAGUUGAGUUUAAUAACCAUGGUUAAAAUCGGGAGAUAUUUUCAAGAGUAUCAUCCAAGGUUUGUAAGGAUAGAUAAUAACAUUCUUUUCUUUUUAUUUUUGAUAUUAUAGUAUAUAGUGUUUUUCACUUGAAAAUAUAUUAUUAUUAUUUUUAAUUUUUCAACAUCAACAAAUUAAAAUUAUAAAAAAAUACUAAAAAAAUCAAUUUAAUAUUAUUUUUCAAGAUAACAUUCUUUUAAAAUCCUUCCAAAUAUAGGUGAAAACAAUACAAACAAGUAAACUUUUAAAACAGAGAAAUGCUGGUGGCAUGCAAAGAAAAAAGAAAAGGAGUCGAGACUUGUAAUAAAUCGUAAAGGUCAUAAGAGUAAUUCUCUUUGCCAAUGAUUUGUUCCUACGCCGUCGUUUAGAGACUUAUUACUUCUCCCUAUAAAAACUAAACCUCCCCAAAUCUCCCUCACGCUCAAAAAUUCGAAAUAAUAAAACUGAAAACCCCUCUCUGCUCCUCUUCCUCCUCCUCCAUCCCGACAGGUAACCGCAAACCCUAACCCUAAUUCCUUGAAUUUUCUCUUCAAUCCCAGUUUAUAAUAAUCCGAUUUAAGCCUAAAUACUCUUCUUCGCUUCCAAUUUCAGGUCUAAAUGGCUCGUACUAAGCAAACCGCUCGCAAAUCCACCGGUGGCAAAGCUCCUCGCAAACAACUCGCCACCAAGGCACGCCCUUCUCCUUCUCUCAUAUAGACAGAUAAAGGGAAAGUAUACAAUGUGAAUUUAUAGGAUAUUUUAUUAAUAUAUGUUUGAUUUCAUGAUAUCUGAAACCUUGCUUGAAUAUACAAAGUCAAUCGAGGUUUACAAUAUUCAUUGUUGGGUGGUUACUUGUAUUUCCGAUUUAUAAAAGUAGUGCAAUGAGAAUGAAUUUUUCUCAAUUAGUAGUGUGAAUUUUUAUGAUUUAUGGUUUUUGUUACCUCUCCAAAAGCUAUGGUGGUAGACAUUGAUUGGACCCAAUCGGUGACCUGCCUCCUGACAUAUCAAUUGCUUAGAGAGGCUAGUUGUUUUUGUAAUGUUGCUAUGAAUUUUAACUCUUUAUCUUUUAUUUUGAAUUUGAAGGCUGCAAGAAAGUCUGCUCCCACCACUGGCGGUGUGAAGAAGCCUCAUCGUUACCGUCCUGGAACUGUAGCUCUCCGGUAAGGGUUUCAUUCCUUCUCUAAACAUUAUUUCCUAGUUACGAUUUUAUUGUGUUUGUUCAUAUGAUGAUUUAUGCUUGUAAAUCCAUUUCUUUUCAACAGUGAGAUCCGCAAGUACCAGAAAAGUACUGAACUCUUGAUCAGGAAGUUACCUUUCCAACGUCUUGUCCGUGAAAUUGCACAAGAUUUCAAGGUAAUGAUUCCCUAUGAUGACUGCAGUUUCUCCCUAUUCAUGUUUAAUUCUAUAAAGAUCAUUCUGAUUUUUCUUUCUUUGUUUUAGACGGAUUUGAGGUUUCAAAGCCAUGCUGUUCUCGCGCUUCAGGAGGCUGCAGAGGCCUAUCUUGUUGGUUUGUUUGAGGAUACUAAUCUUUGUGCUAUCCAUGCCAAGAGGGUCACCAUCAUGCCUAAGGAUAUCCAACUUGCCAGGAGAAUUCGUGGAGAAAGGGCCUAAAGGUUGAUGUUUUUUCGUUUUGGUUCUGUUUGUUUGCUUAGGUGGUCAUUAAUGUGUUUCUACUAUCAGGUCUACUGUGCUAUUCUAAUAUGAACUGAUGUAUUCUAGUAAUUUAAAAUUUGCAUUCCGUGUGAUUUCACUUUAUGUUUAAUAUGAAGCUAUGGUAUUAUGUUUUCAACCCUAGUCUUGACCCUUGUUUUAAUUCUGAAUCUGAGUUCCUGUUUGUGUUGCCUGAAGCCUUGGUCUCCUACUCUUUCUUGUUUCUUUUUCUUCCCUUGCGGACAUUUUUUUUUGGCUGGGAACUUGAUGGAUUUUAUGCUCGUUUGAUACCAAAAAGAGGUCCUGCAGAAAUCCUAAUGCUAUUUUCCUACAAACUCUCCCAUACCAAUAAUAAAUUUCUUUUCUAGUGUCUUUGUUUGGCCAGGGAUGCUAGUAUGUCAAUGACAGUAUGCCUGUGUUCCUGAGAUCUAUCCGAGGUCUGGUUAGGAUGGCUUUUGCAGGCAAGAUCAUGUACUUGAAAUCAGUAUGCCUGUGUUCCUGAGAUCUAUCCGAGGUCUGGUUAGGAUGGCUUUUGCAGGCAAGAUCAUGUACUUGAAAUCUGUACUUGCAAGCUUUAACAGUUUAGAAGUUCAACCUAUUCCAUCUUGACUUGUAAUGCUGAACAAUUCGAUUGGAAGGGGAGGCUGUGCCAAUUGAGAAUGAAGUUGAUAGGGUUUCAGCAGUAUAUGGAUUAGGUUGCAUGAUCUUCAAAUUGCUCCGUGUCUUGUUUUAUUAACACAUUGACAUUGUUUUUGUUAUAGCUUACAGCUUACCCUUGAAUAAAACCCACACCCAGAUAUCGUAAUUUCUAAAGGCGCAGAAGAAGGGCCGCAAGAGAAUACGGGCUCUGCAAGUGGCGCUACCCAUAUGUGACGUCAACGUGUAAAAGAGCUUUGGUCAACUAAAAUGGCAUGUUUGCCUACGAUGGACCUGCAUUUUUAAAGAAAUGGCUGGCUCGGUUUCUUUUUGAGCUUCCAAAACAAGCUCAGAUAAGCUUUGCAAGUUCAUAGCUAUCAAAAUCAAGGAGGGGUUGAUAUCUCUUUAUCAUGGCCCCCUCAAAAUUUUAAAAUAUAAUGAAAAUCUCAAAUUGCCCAGCUUUAUUUAUGCUCGACACGCAGGAUUGUGCUUCAAGCCGAAAAGAAAGCACGAGCUAAGUUAAGCUAAUCAUAUUCUUUGUUAGCAUAAUUCAAGUGGAAUGUUGUCAUUUCUCGUGUCGUAUUAGGUUCAAGUGCGAGUCUUCUCGUAAAAGAAAAGGAAAAAAAAACUAUAAGAAAACAAAAUAGUAAAAUUAUAUUUUUUUAAUUGAUUUUUGUUUUUCUGUGCAUCCAACUUUACAAGAAAUUUUAUGAUAUUAAGAAACUGAUUAUCAAUACUUAUUGAAUAAGAGAGAAAAACACAUGAUAAAGAAAUAAAAAUAAUAUUUUUAUGUCUAGAUAAAAAUAUUCUUAUUAUUUUUUUAUCAACUCAUCUCUCUCUCUAUAUAUUUCUCCCUCUCUCUCUCUCUCUCUCUCUUCAAAGUGAACUUAUUGAGUAAACAUUGGUAUUAUCUCUCUUUGAAGCGUAUGAGUAUCAAUUUUAUUUUCUCAAAAGUUUAUGUUGAAUUUAGAAGGGGAGUGAGACAAGGAAUCUAGAAGAGCCUAGGAGAGAUAGAAGGGCCAAGUUCACAGAAAGGCCAAGCCUAUAAGGCCCGACUCAUAAGGAUAAGUCUACAUGAAGGUGAAAGGGCCAAGCCUAGAAUGCCUAACUCAUCGAAAAGGGAAAGCCCUACAAGAUGGGAAUUUCCAAGGGCUUAUAACAUUGGUAUUUGUUUUCAAAGUGGGAUUCUAACUUCCUUCCUCACACAAAGCGUGGAUGGAGGAAUGAGGCAGCGGAGAUGAAGAAAAAAGAGGCUUAUGCUUUUAUAUUAUAUUGAAUUUAAGAGACAAGAAGCCCAAAAAAGCUUGACACAAAAUAGUUAGGAAGGACUAUAAACAAGAGUGAGUAAAGGAUAGAAAAGCCAAGUCUACAAAAAAGCAGAUUGAUAUAACACCCAAUUUUAGAUUUGGGUGGGAUUAUUAGAUCAUGCGUAGUUAAUGCGUGCUUGAUUUGGUCUUUAGUCCACCCAUCUUUUUUCUAUUUUUUUUUUUAAAAGUAGGAUGUGGAUCAUAAAUUCAUGAUGACAAUGAAGGUUCUGAUCAUGUCGUUCCAAUCAAACUUUACAAGAAUUAGAAACUGCCUCACUCUAAAUUAAAUGCUGGUCAAUUGAUUUGAGCCAUGUCAACAUAGCAUCUUGGACCUAGCUAGCCCCCCUUUCACAUUCUCUUUGAACAUUGUUUUCUAUGAUCCUAAUUAUCUUCUCUCUGCUUACAGCUUCAAUAAAACUUCUCAAUUCUCAUGCUUUAUUUUGAGCCAUGACUAUAAACAAUGUUGUGUUAAAUCUAGCCCGUAUCGAGUUAAAAAUAUAAAUAGAAGUUUUCUCGGUUAAAUCUAAGCAAUUCAGUUAAAAUCCAAGCUUAAUAACAAUAUUAUUUUAUUUAACCUAAUUCACGACCUUAAUCUUGGCUAAGUCAUGAACCAAACAAUCCAAUCAAAAACCCGAGUUUAAUAAUAAUAUUGUUUAUUUAAACUAAUUCAUGAUUUUAAUCUUGGCUAGAUCAUGAACCAAGCAUAUAUACGAAUUAAGCCGAAGCCGAGUUUAAUAACUUUUCAUGAAUGUAAAUGUAUAUAGGAGUAAUGCUUUCAUCCACCGCGUGCAAGAUUUUAAUUGCAGUAAUUCUUUUAAGUGGAGCACGGCACGGGGGAGGGAGGGUUGUUUCGUUCUUUGCUCACCUUUUCAGGAUUUCUAUCUUAUCUUUGCAUGAAAAAAACAGAUAAAAAGAUUGGGUUAUGGUGGUUUUGUUGGGUGCCAUCAUUGGAAUCAUUGUUCUACAAAAAGGGAGCUUGUUCUGGUCAACCAUUAUACUAAUUGCUCAUCUUCUAAAAAGCUUCAAGAACACUUAUCGUGGAGGCUCUUGGUUGGCCCAGAAGCUUCUAUCUUACACUCCCCGACCAAAACCCAGACAGCAUGUGUUUCUCCUUCUUCAUAUUUCUUCUCGAUCAAGAGUAGUGACAACCACAAGGAUCAUCAUUCCUUUUGUUCUGCCUAUUAUUCAAACAAUAUUUCAUUGGCACUCAUUUUGUAGGACGUGAUUGGCCCAAACCUCUAUGGCGAAGCAGCUGAACUGAACGUGCCCUAGCCCCCCUUCAAUCAAUAUUAAUACAAUAUACCACUGAUCAAUGAAAAAAAAGUUGGCAACAUUGUUCAGAAUUAUGUUUUUAAAACUUGAAAACCCUAGUUUUUAUUCAUGUUACACGUUACAACAACACUAAAGCUCGACUGAAAUUCAUAUACAUUUAACGAUUAAUAAUAUAUAUUUUGAAGGAUUUCUUUAACAUAAAGUUUAAUAAAUAAAGAAAAAAAACAAACUCAGUUUUUUUUUUUUAGUAACAUGGGUGUCCGGGUCAGCUUGCGCACACCUCAACUAAUCCCACGGGCCCUGAAGUUAACAACCAUGUAAACCUCCCGUGGUUAUCAUAUUAGCAACUACAGGGAGAGUAAACCUCUUAGUCUCAAGUUCUUACUACUGGACCAUCUACUAGAUGAUUAGAAACUCAGUUUCUUAGAAGCAGCCUGAGGUGGUUCGAUAAUCUAACACACAAACUUUGCAAUUUCAAAAAAGUAAUUGGAUAGAUUUGAGACAGUGCUAAUUAAUUCCUCCUUUAAUUUUUCCGUUACAAAUUUCUAUUAAAACCAAGAUUAUUAACUCAUUAAGGACAUGCAACAUAUACUAAUUUACCGAGAUCUUGGUUAAGUUUAACUGUAGAUCAAAUUAGACCAUUGCCGAUGAACUCCAACAGAAAUUAGCAAAGUAAUUAGAUAUGAACUUAAUCACUUU